UGGUAGCUCCGAGAAAACUGUCCAACCAUCUCGUCCUCUGUCGUCCCCUUCUCCUUGUGCCCUCCAUCUUUCCCAGCAUCAGGGUCUUUUCCAGGGAGUCUUCUCUUCUCAUGAGGUGGCCAAAGUAUUGGAGCCUCAGCUUCAGGACCUGUCCUUCCAGUGAGCACUCAGGGCUGAUUGCCUUCAGAAUGGAUCCGUUUGAUCUUCUUGCAGUCCAUAAGACUCUCAAGAGUCUCCUCCAGCACCAUAAUUCAAAAGCAUCAAUUCUUCGGCGAUCAGCCUUCUUUCUGGUCCAGCUCUCACUUCCAUUCAUCACGACUGGGAAAACCAUAGCUUUUACUAUACGGACCUUUUUUGGCAAGGUGAUGUCUCUCAGUAAAACAUAGCAUCCCCCAAAGUUCAGCAGUAACUUUCUCCUGUGCAUGAUUUGACCUUUAAGAUGCCCAGGUGCCCUCUUUCAUAUCAGGCAAUUCAGCACUUCCAGCCCUGUCCAUGCCAGUUUUCCCCUUUCCUACACAUCCAGUGAAAAUUCCAAUAAUCUGGAUCCUCGAAGGGGAAGGGGGUUCACAUAGGGCCACAGGGCCUCAUAGAGAGCCUUUGGGGGACUGUAUGUCAGUGGUUUUCCCAGUAGUGAUGUGUGGAAGUGAGAGCUGGACCAUAAAGAAGGCUGAUUGCCAAAGAAUUGAUGCUUUUGAAUUAUGGUGCUGGAGGAGACUCUUGAGAGUCCCACGGACUGCAAGAAGAUCAAACCGAUCCAUUCGGAAGGAAAUCAGCCCUGAGUGCUCACUGGAAGGACAGAUCCUGAAGCUGAGGCUCCAAUACUUUGGCCACCUUAUGAGAAGAGAAGACUCCCUGGAAAAGACCCUGAUGUUGGGAAAGAUGGAGGGCACAAGGAGAAGGGGACAACAGAGGACGAGAUGGUUGGACAGUGUUCUCGAAGCUACCAGCAUGAGUUUGACCAAACUGCGGGAGGCAGUGGAAGACAGGAGUGCCUGGCGUGCUCUGGUCCAUGGGGUCACGAAGAGGCGGACACGACUAAACAACAACAAUGUCAGUGGUAGCUGUGCCAAGAAGCAAAACUGGAUGGUGCCAGGGGCAGAAAUGGAACACAGUUGACCACUUUCCAACCAUGCAAUAGCCAGAGGUUUCUAUAUUUCCAUACACCCAUCUCUCCGUCCUCCACGCAGGGAAGUCAGAGGAUCAAGGACGCAUUCGCCCCAGGUGAAACAGCUUGAGAACGAUUGAAAGGACAGCUGGUGCAGUAUCCCACCUCGGCCACAGGGGGCAGCAAUUUCUAUACAAGGAAUAUACAAGACAUUUCUUUUUCUGCACAAUGUACCUGGUAUAUAGAAACAACAGAGCAUUCCAUCUGGCCAACCAAUUGAAGGAGAAGGAGAAGACAACCACUACCAGACAGCUACCUUGUCUCACAGCUUUCCACACACACACACACACUACAAUAGAGUUAUAUACCUAGGCAUCCUUUUCAUUUUAUAAUUUUAAUUUAAGGAAUACAUUGAUGAUUGAUGAAUGGAUGUGAUUAAUUGAAUUAUUUUGGAGCAGCAGUAAUGGGUUGAUAAAUUAAUUGCAAGUAAAGUCAUGGGAGAACAACUAAUUUGGGGUGCGUGAUCUGGAUGGGAAAUCAAUUGGGUGAAGUCCAUAUUAAUAAAUUCAUUAUUUGGGGUGAUCUGGAUGUAAAAUGAACUGGCCUGUCAUCUGUGAAAUUUACUUUCUGGUAAUUAUUUUUAAAUUUGCAUGUGUACGGCUAAAUUGGCAUGUGCAUAUUUGUCCUCUUUUUGGAUGCUCCAGCAGUGGUGUAGCGUGGGGGGUGCAGGGGGGGCCGACCGCACCGGGCGCAACAUCUGGGGGUUAGGGUUAGGGGGCGCAAAUCCACGGGUUAGGGGGCGCAAAUCCACGGGUUAGGGGGCGCAAAUCCACGGGUUAGGGGGUGCAAAUUACUUGCCUUGCCCCGGGUGCUGACAACCCACGCUACGCCACUGUGCUCCAGUGCCUCUUUUUAGGCCUUGGGUAAGUGGCUACCUUGUAUUUUAGCAAUGGCACCCACAGCCUGAACAUUGUAAAUAAAGGGAAUGAUGAAGUCGCAUGGUGCAAAUUUGAGUAAUAAAAGCGAGCCCAAGAGACUAGCUCAGAAUUCAUAGCAAUCGGUGAAAUUUUGCCCCUUCCCCAUUUUACUGCAUUUGGUCUUAGAGGUUCCUGUGAAAGUAGCCUUUCUGAUUAUGUCCUCCUUUCCUCAAUUCCUUGUCUCCCUAAUCCUCUUUCUCCUGCUUCCUCUACUUACUUGCCUCUCAGAUUGCCACAUCCCACUUCCUUGAACCUUCUGGGAUGAUUCUCAUUCCGUUUCCUUGACCUCAGCCUUCCUCACCAAAAGACUCAAGCCUAUCCCUAUGGCUUAUCUAGAGUAUUAACCUCAAAUCAAACCAUAUUCCGUUCCCAUACAGAAGCUGGACUGAGAACUCUUGGGGUGGAGAGCUGGUAUUCCCAGAGCAGUUGCAAAGUCACAAAACGUUUGCAAACAGUCCAUCAGCUCAGCAGUCAGUGUCAGAGAUCACAGUGCUACACAUGCAAUCCAGUACAGAUGGAUAAGGAAACCAUGAGAUACAGUGGCAUUAUUCCACGUGCACAGCUUGCAGCCAGGCUGCACGGUGAAGCUGUUGAAAAUCUGAGCUGCAUUCCACUCCAUAAUAUCAUGUAAGCUGUACAAUAGGGUUAGUGAAGCAGUGAUUAUUUUAGAGCACCUUAACUGGGGAGAAUCCUCCUCUCUUGUUCCUUGUUAUUUCCAGAUGCCUUUGUGAAAUGGCAGCCAGGGAGUCGGGGGAAGAAAGGGGGCCUGUUCACAUACCAGGCAGAAAGAAAGCAGUGAUCCUAGCUUAGCGCACUACAAAAGUUCAGAUAACUUUCAUUUGAUGGGUAGCUCCUUUUACAGAAGCUCUGAGCUUGAUGACUCAGGAAAAGACAGCUCCCCAUGUAUAGAAACUUCAGCUAUUUAUCUACCCCUCUCAGACCUCCUGCUUUUGAAUUAUGGUGCUGGAGGAGACUCUUGAGAGUCCCAUGGACUGCAAGAAGAUCAAAUGCAUCCAUUCUUAAGGAAAUUAGCCCUGAGUGCUCACAGGAAUGACAGAUCGUGAAGCUGAGGCUCCAGUACUUUGGCCACCUCAUGAGAAGAGAAGACUCCCUGGAAAAGACCCUGAUGUUGAGAAAGAUGGAGGGCACAAGGAGAAGGGGACGACAGAGGAUGAGAUGGCUGGAUAAUGUUCUCGAAGCUACCAGCAUGAGUUUGACCAAACUGCGGGAGGCAGUGGAAGACAGGAAUGCCUGGUGUGCUCUGGUCCAUGGGGUCACGAAGAGUCAGACACGACUAAACAACUAAACAACAGCAACAACAACUCGGACCUCCAAAACGGAUUGAUCAAUGGAUUAUUAAUUAACGCAAAAAGCAAAUGAUCAGACUUGCGCACACAGCAUCUACACGUGUUUAAGCUGUAUACGCACAGUUUCAGAUCAACAGAUGCAAGUCAAGAGAUCACAUCACAUGCGAAACUGAUUUCCCCCUCCAGGAGCUGAUUCUCGGUUAAUGUAUGAAUUUUCUCCCAGCUUUGCCCAUAGUCUCCAAAGGCCGUAUCCCUUGUGCCGCUGGAGUGUGCAGCCUCUUUCGUGCCAUACAUCCUCGUUAUUUAGUGAAGGCUCCAGCUGCCUCUCUCUGCAUAAAAAGUGUUUAUUUUGAAACCAGUCAGCUACAAAGAUCUGUCUUGUUGGCAGCAAUUUGCCAAGGAAUUUUGUACUACUGGCUUCGAUAUGUUGCAAACUGAGGAUCAAAGGGGAAACUGAAACUUCACUAACUAGGCUUCUCUCCCUCUCUCAAAAGAUUAUUGGAGAGUGAGGGCCUUAUUGAUGGUUUAAUUGAUCAACUGGAGAAAUUUAGAUAAAUCUGGCAUUUGAGGAACCACAGCUGCUGUUCUUUUUGGUGCAGUUCAUCAGCCAGAUAAAAAACAUUGCACUGAUUUACCUUUCACUUCUGUCAUUAAUCUAAAUGGUGUGAAUUCAAUUUCAGUUAUCAGCUAUCUUUUACAUUCUACCACUUUAUUUUCCUUUGGAAUUCAAAAAAUUUACGUUUCAGAACCAUGCACCACCAUCGUUCUUCAGCUUCGCUGGAUGUUGCUUUUCCAACAGACAAUUGCCAACGGAACAUUAUAGGAAUUGUUUUUCGGGGGAAACUACAGCUAGUUUUUAAAUUUGAUUAUAUAUAUCUGGCCGAUGACAUUCAGGGCUCCUUCAGACUUUCUAUUGUGUCAUAUUUCUAGACAGAGGUUUGUACUUUAAAGCGUUGGGUCUGAGCGCUUUUUUUUUUGCCCACGAAAAUCCGCCCUUUUACCACUGAAUUGGAGCAAAUGGAAAUCCACAGAAAUAUGAAUUGUUCUUUGUUUUGAUUCAGCAUUAAAGAGUGAGUUUUUGCAGGGAAAGCUCAGACCUGUGCCUGUAAAAAAGGGGGGGCAGAAGGUGAGUUUGAAUAAGCCCUAAGAUGAGCAAGAGCCUAACUCAGUAUCCUAGUGUGAAUUAAAUAAAUCUCCAGCUGUUUAAAAAGAAAGAAAAAGAGGGCAGAUUGGGGAUCAAAAAGGGAAAGCUGAAAGGGGUUAGGCAAUUCUGCAUGGCUCAUCCAUGACCAAAGGUUUUAAGACCAAUUAAUGGCAAAUGGUGCUGUCUGAUUUAAAUCAAGCAAUUAAUUCAUCCCCCACCUCCUUCAGAUUAAAGACUCACAAUUAUCUGGACAAGGAGAAAGAUACCACACCCUUUCCAAUAUCUGUUUCCUUUUAGCUUUCUAAGUGCCUUAACAUGAUACAGGUCUCUUUGCAGUUUUGCAUCGUUCAUAGAGAACUGGGCUACCCUCCUAAUUGUGCAAUUAGGGUAUGUUUUCUUUUCUUCCUAUCAUGAUGGUUUAAAUGCCUGCCAUGAUUACAUAUCAUUGUGCUGUCCACCAGGUGACAAUUCAUCUCUUAGCACAAAGUUCAUCCUAAAAACAUCAUCAUGGUCCAUUUCCUUAAUCUUUCUUCAUUACUCUAAUACAGAGUUUUUAUUUGUUCUGGGGCCAAAUAAUGAGGUGUAUCAGGGUAAUUUGGGGUGAUUUUAGUGGAAUUGCAAGGUCAAAAGACUGCCCCAAGUUAGAUCAGGGCCCCCACAAAAUAUUGUGCAACUCUGUUGCAUUGUUUUCGUGUACUCCAUCUCCACAAAAUAUAUUAGAAGGGACCCAAACUGGUGAAAGAUUAAUUUGGUCAUCAAUUCACUUACAUUUUGUCCUGUUGUUGCUGUUUACCCCUCCUUCACCCUAAAAUCCCAUGGCAGGUUACAACAAUUAAAACACAAAUUAAGCACAAUUAAAACACAUGAUGAUGCCUUGAUCUGACGCUAGCUGUGUUACUCGUUUUAUUGCUUUUUUAACCUUUGUUUUAUUGCUUUGUUUCCCCACCUCCCAAACCCUUGUUGUACUUUUAUCCUUGAUUCUGGCUUUUAUUUACAGUGUUCAUAUAUAUAUGUUGUAUUUAUAGUAUUUGUAAUUGCAAAUAUCAUUUGUUUGUAGACCUUUAAGCCUGUCUGCAUUUCUGCAAAGGCCUUUGACCAUAAGCAAUAAAAGUUUGAUCUGAGUGCCUGCUUUAAAACAAAAACAAAAGCACAGCAGAUCACAAUCACAGAACUGCCUAGUUUGGAUAUUUGCAAUAAAGCUGCAGUGAGGCAGUCCCUUUGCCUUGAUUUAAAGGGUUCUGCAAACAUGUAUUGUUUUAAAAAUGCAGGGAGGCAUUUUAAAAGUCUAGCUUUCCCUGCAAAUCCAUCCCUUCUGCUUAUCCUGCAAUGCUGAAGUGGGAGAGUAAGUGAACAGGCUGGAGAAGAGUGGAAUAGUUGGAAGCGGAGAGGCAGGGGAAACUAAACCUGCUGUAUCUUCACGAAGCUGAUCAGACUUUAAAGGGACAACACCAUCCCUAUCACCCAUGAACAUACCACCUGGUCCUUAGGGCUAUACAUGGUUCACAAUGUCCUUAAAGCAAUGAUCCCUGGUCCACAAGCUCCCUAUAACAUUCUCAAGGUGCCCAGGCCACAGUCUCUCUCUUUCUCCCUGCCUCUUCAAAGUGUUUUCAAAGCACACUGGAGUAUGAAAUAUGAAAACAAACUUGCACAGCUGCUCUCUGAGCUUUCCCUUCCUCGCCACACCUGCAGGGAAGAGUUUUCAGAGCUCUGUUUCUCUAAAAGCACAUCAAAGGCUGCCAUAUCUGAACUUUGGUUAAUGUAAAGCUACUCCGGUCUCCUUAUCCAUUUCUAUUUGUAUGUGUACAUAGUGGACCUGCGGGAGGUCAGUCUUCCCAUUCAGUUCACAGCCUUGCUUCUCCAGAUGUUGUUGGACUACAACUCUCUCCAUCCCUCAGCACAGGUCCUGCUAGCAAGGGAUGAUGGGAGUUGUAGUCCAACAAUAUCUGGAGACCCAAGGCUGUUGCAGAAUGUCCUGCUGACAUACCGAAUGGCAUGGACUCUUUAGUUUCUUAUUUAAUUCACAUGAAUUAAAUCAUUUGAAAGACAGACUAGGAUCCAAAGAAGGGACAUGACUAGCGAAGACAGAACUCACAGGGAACUGAGUGCCUGUGAGCUGUGGCAAUUACUGCUACUCGUCCCCCCAGCAUCCAAGACCACUGGAGAGAGCAGAGCAUUUAGGACUGCUGUGUUCCUCACCUCCAUCUACUCCUACUUAGACCCAAGUCAUGACCAUUAUUCUUAUUUACGCUGAAGGUCAAUAUGGAAAUUCAAGUAGCUAAUGAACUUCCCAGUGCGGAGUGUAGCUUCAUGCAUUAUAAUGUUGGCACCCAUGAGUAGUUUGGCACCGCUACACUUCCAACAGUGGAGUCACAGUUGUGUACCAGGAUGGAGAGAGAGCAGGGUUGUGCAAGAACGUCAAUAUAGAGCAUGAAUGAAUGUGUGCUGCAGUGAUUCUGAUUUCUCUGCUCCUCCCCUCUCAUCCUCAUUCCCUUGCCUCUGAUCCAUGUUUGUCAUUUUUUUUGGAGCUAGUUGGCACCCUUUGAAGGAGCCACACAACCUAGUGUCUUCUACAAGGGAGCCUUUUUCUAUUUUUAACUAUAUUGGAGGCAUCUAAGCAAAAAAAAAAGGGACGUGGGUGGCGCUGUGGGUUAAACCACAGAGCCUAGGGCUUGCUGAUCAGAAGGUCAGCAGUUUUAAUCCCCACGAUGGGGUGAGCUCCCGUUGCUCGGUCCCAGCUUCUGCCAACCUAGCAGUUCGAAAGCACAUCAUAGUGCACGUAGAUAAAUAGGUACUGCUCCAGCAGGAAGGUAAACGGUGUUUCCGUGCGCUGCUCUGGUUUGCCAGAAGUGGCUUAGUCAUGCUGGCCACAUGACCCAGAAGCUGUACGCCAGCUCCCUUGGCCAAUAAAGCAAGAUGAGCACCGCAACCCCAGGGUCGGCCACGACUGGACCUAAUUGUCAGGGGUCCCUUUACCCUUUACCUUUAAGCAACUAUAGAAAGCUCUAAGGGCUGGUUUUCAGCUGUCCUUCCUGGCUUUGGAGAAGGAGGUUCUGUUUGCACUUUUCAUGGAACUUCUAAGCCAACAUCUAGCCAUCUACGAACCAGUGGCGAUGACUAACAAGAGAACACUCUGGUGUUCUCACCUUGCCCAGGACAAGUGACUGUUGGAUUCCACUCCUCACUUACCUUCUUACUUAUCUUUCAGAUCUUACCCACCUACAACUCAUGGGAGACCCCAAACCCCAAGGGUUUGCUGGUGAGCUUUCCCUUUUGUCAUUCAUUUACUCUCCUUUUAGUUCUGUGGGAUAAAAACACCUGCCCCAGAGUCUCUCUAUAUAUACCUCUCUGUUAGAAACUGCAAAGUGCAUGGUCCAGGCAAAUGUGAGGUGAGUAGCCUGUGUAUUUGUAACCCCUAAUCAUUUUGAUUCCUUUAUAUAUGAGUACUGCUGCUACUGGCGGAGGAACGGGGGUGUGGGGGGAGCGGACCGCCCCCAAUACCACUAUUCUGGUAGGGUGCCAUCGUGAUGGCCCCCCCCACGCACGCACCCCUGUGCAUGCUGGGUGCCAGGACAACACAAGAAGCUCGCCAAUCCCCCAGAACAAGUGCCACACCUGCGGGCGGCGCCCCAUGCCCCCAGAAUGUACGCUAUACCCCCCCCCAGGGCGCCAGUCACGCCUCCGCCUGCUCUCCGCCCCCGGUAGCGGAGCCUGCAGCUUUGCCACUGACUGCUGCUUCAAGUUGCAAGGCUAUUUGGUUCUCUGCUAGCUAUUUUGUGCAAAUAAAUAUUGUCAUCAUAUCAAACAGUGUGCGUACUGUAUUGCUAAUUCAUUAAAGCAAGAAAAUAUAAGACAGGAAUUAGUUAGUCAAGGCUAAUUCCCCCAAAUCAAACAAGGGGACCCUGGUGUUUCUAAAUAUAAAAAACACCUCUAGUGUUCCAUUGCCUCCAGGAAAGUUCCCCAAAUUUGCAGUUCCAUCAAGAGCUGGGUUAGAUAUAGAUCAGGGGUCGGCAACCUUUUUCAGCUGUGGGCCGGUCCACCGUCCCUCAUACCAUGUGGUGGGCCAGACUAUAUUUUGAAAAAAUUAUGAAUGAAUUCCUAUGCCCCACAAAUAACCCAGAAAUGUAUUUUAAAUAAAAGCACACAUUCUACUCAUGUAAAAACAUGCUGAUUGCCAGACCGUCUGCGGGCCAGAUUUAGAAAGCAAUUGGGCCACAUCCGGCCCACGGGCCUUAAAUUGCCUACCCCUGAUAUAGAUUCUCUUGGCUUAAGCAUCUGAUAAUUGCUCAGGUGGGGAAAAAAGGAGUGGCCAAUGUAGACUUUUCUAUUUACAUUGCAAAUCUGAUUGAAGAUGAAUGAGCCAAGAGUUUUCUGCUUGUUGUAUGUGUUUACCACUCAUCACUCCUUGUAAACAGGUUUGCAGGGUUUGUAUUGCUUCAGAAACUUGCAAGGCCUCUUGAAGCAGAGGCCAUAGUAACGAAAUGCAAUUCAUCAUGAGAAGUGAUGCCUCUUUCCCAUCACUUCAUGUUCCAGGUCCUUGGAAGUAAGCCCCACUGGUUACUUUGGGGUAAACACGCUGUUUAAAACUAUUUUAUGUUCUCAGCUUUAGAGAGAAGGAUUAGACUCAGGAAACACAGUGCAGUAACUAGCUGGCUUGCAUUGGCCCUCUGUCUGCAAGGAAAGUGUUAAAGCAAACUUGAAAAUGAGGCUGAUAUUUUAUUAACCUUUUGCAAAGAGAAUUGUUAGUUAUGGGCAAGAGGCAUUAGAAGGGAAGGAAAAGGCCAGUUGGCCUAAUAAGACUUGCCCCUUGGGGCAGCCUUGAUCUCUGUCUCCAUCCAGGAAUAAAUUAUGAAGAGGCUCUUUCUGAGCUCAUUUAUAAAAUCUCAUUUAAGGACCUGUCUUGGCAAUUUCUCCCCUAUAUAAGCAAUUCUAGGAAUUCAGAGGCCCAGGCUGAGAGAUUCAUGGGUACACACACAUUUCAAUAUAUGCACUGCAUUCUGCUAGUGCUUUGCAUUUUCUUAUAUGUAUGGUGUCAGCAGAUGGGGAGGUGUGCUGGAGCACAAAGAUUUUUUUUAAGACAGAUUGUGUGUGUGCAUGUGUUAGAGAGAUAUGAUCAACUGCGCAUGCGCAUGCAAGAAACAGAACUGGGUAGAUCACUCCUUUGUGUGAGGGAGUGUGCAUCUGCACAUGAAAAAAAUUAAAGCUGGUCCAUGAAAUUUUGCAUGGCCAAUCAAUUUCUUUUUUUAGUAAUACCUGAUUGCAAUGUGCAAUUCUCCCAAGCCAUUAGCUGACCUGACAGCAGCAACAGAGGGGAACCAUUUAAAUUUUGCAUAUGACCCAGGAGCAACAGCAGGUGUGGCCCAGGCUUGGGACCAGUUCCAGUGGGCUCAGUUGGACGACAGAGACCUUGGCAACUGUCCGAGGGUGCUGAGCACUGGUGCCAAACUUAAAUAUACCAACAAGCAGUUCCUCAUUUUCGGGCAGUAGAAAUGCCACAAUGUUCAGCUUUAUCUGCCAUGGGUUGGCCAAUAAUUAUUGAAGUUAGAUUUUAUUUUAUUUUUCAAAAUUGUUUACCAGCCAGCUUGGAAUCAGAAUUUCCAGACAGCUUGAAUGCCACCCCCACCCCCCACCCCCGGUGCAAUAGUAGACUUUUCAGAAUAAAUGGAGCUAUAACUUUUCAGUAAAAGAGAAGUUGGGUUGAUUAAAUUGGCCAGUGUCUUUGUACUUCUGCUGAAAGCUGUGUGUUUUCAAACAGGUGGUGUGAAAAUUCUACACCACAGACAUUAGCCAAUAGGUGCCCAUGACGUAAUUUCUAUAGCUCGCGUCUGUGACAGCCAUCACAACGGAUGCACUAACUGGGGGGAAGAAUCUAGGUUUCAUCAUGACAAAAUAUUGUUCUUUGAGUGCUGAGAAAGAGCAGGAUCUCCGCCACAGGAAUGCAACCUCGAGGGAGGUUGUCUGGGCUGCUAACAAUAAAUGGAAAUGAUGGGGAUCCAAAGAACCACACAGCUAGUUCUGGGUGCCCAAAGGAGCCUUGGACCCCCAAGAAUGCAGGCAUGGCAAACCUCUUCCGAAACCGGGGAAGGUAUGGAAAGCCGCUUCUGAGGCUGCAUGGGAGUUUGCCUUCAAAGGGGAAAGUUUUUAAACAGACUCCCAUUGGGCCUGCCCAAACCAUUGGGUGCACCUAAAGUAGCUCUUUGGACGACAGCCAAUGACUCUGCACGGAUCAUUUUACAAAUGGAAAGUCUGGAAAAGGCCUGAAACACAGAUGUUGCAACCUUAAGAUUUGUAUCUGAUUACCAAAAAAAAGGGAAAGAACGGAGAAUGCAUGGCAAGUUUCCCGCACGCUCCCCUUUGCAAGACUUGAGCGCUGAUUCGAACUCCUUCCUUUCAGCUCCCCACAUGCCUUCUCGUGACCCCAGCCAGCCAGACACAUACAUCAGGUGUGCUAUCCCAGCAGGCUGUUGGGGCACUGCUUCCACCUCACCUGCUUUGCUGAGGGCUUCUGCUCAGGUUCAGGGCUCACAUAGCAGCCUGCAAGCUUGGGGGGAAGAUCUUUGCAAAGCCUUUGCAACUCCCUGCCACAGAGUGCCAGCCAGGAGGAAAAUGUACUGCCCAACUAGCAAUUAGCAGAGGCUUUUGGGGGGAAAUGAGGGGGAAAUGAGUGAGCUCUUUGGGAGAAAUUCCUACCGCCCCAACACCCCUCAAAUUCCUUUACUCAAGCUAAAUGCAUAUCCCCUAUAAAUGAAAAGGUCAUUUUGCUUACAUAAUUUUGGAGACACCCUUGGAACUCCAUACAGGUGGUCUGCGUUAAGAAGGGCAGUUCACCUCCAGCCAGCUGCCAGCACCAGCUGUGGUCUUAUACUGCCCUCUGCAGUUCCAAAUUCUUCCUGUUCCUAAUUCUGAAAACCGAGAGCCAGUGCAAAGCCUUGCCAGCAGAUCUGUCACAACCUGUGACAUACUAAAGAUGCCAGAGUGUCACAUAUCAGGUACAUAAGCUCAUAAUUGUAAGGCUCAGCUACACAGCAGGGGGGAACUAGGAGGGGGUCACUCUGCCUGAAUUCUCCAUCCAAGGAGCUAGGCUUAAUUACUCGCUACUGAUUGUGUUGGGCAGGGAGGGGGGGAAGAGGCAUUUUUAAAAAAAUCCACACCUUCUGGUCUAGGAGCCAAUUUACAGGAGCAACACUAAGACAUACGGCAGAGUCCUAUAUGUGUCUACUGGGAGUGGAGGAAUCUGUCAAUUUUGGUUUCUCUCAGAUCCUCAUUUGUUUUCCUCCACAUCAGUUUGCAAACUUCAGGGGCAGGGGAGACUUCUCUAAAUACAAUAUAAUCUGCUUCUUAAAGUGUCUGUAGCAUGGUUUUCAAGCUACAGUAACUGGACACAGAAAUUAAGCAGAUGAAACUUUUGUACUACAUAGUUCUGUAUCAAGAAAAAGCUCAUCGCUGAAAUUUCUGUGCAGGAGAAAUUUCUGUUAGAAGCCUAGGAGCAGAACCCAUACAAAAGUAGCAAACCUUUUGUGUACAUACAAAAGUGCCUCUGUGAGAUUACAUAUUUUAGGGCCACAUCUUGGUGAACUCUAACACUAGUUCAGUCCAUGUGAAAGAUGGAAUAGAUUUUUAAGGCCAAAUUAUGACGGCGUUCCCCAGCAGUGGGCUGAGGAGGAGGAAAUGGGAAAGGAUCUCUUGGGAACAUCAAAGGAACCCUGUUAGCACUGCGUUUAUAGAAACACAUUUACAUAUGAGUAAGCAAGGAUGUUUGAUUCUCCUCAUGGAUUCCCUUCUAAUAUUUUUAGAACUAAAUUCAGAGAAUGCUCUGAAGGUACAUGAAGUCACCAACUGGCUGAAGCUAAGCAGGUCUUGGUCUGGUCAGUAACUGGGCGGGCAACCUCCUGGGAACAACAUCUACGCUUACGUUUCAGGAUAUAAAUCUAAGAAAUGAAUGAAUGAAUGCAGUCUAUGGCCAUCACGCGUAGAAUCAACACUUGCCAUGUUUUUCUCUUACUUUCAGCAAAAUCGCAUUUCAGAACAUCACCUCCUUCACACAAAAGAGGCAUGCGCAGCACUUUUGGAUCAAUCAUGAGCUAAAGCAAAAAUGCUUCCCAUAACUUGGUGACUCAGACCCCAAAAACAUACUGAAGGCAAGUGUCUGUCCAAAGUAGAACCAGGUUGAAGGGGGAGAAGAAGAAGCUUUGCGAAAGUAUAGUGUAUAGCUCUAGCUUAUGGAGAAUGCCAGGGUGUCUCCUUAGUGACUGGCAAAGUUUGUUAAGAGAGUGAAUUCUACUUUGGGGGAGGACUGCUGAUGGAAAUUAUUAGGCAUGAUCUCAUGUGUUUCUUGUGAUUUUGCAAGUUCCGUUUUAUGAAGCAGCAACAUUAGACAGUGUUUUGGUAGAUUGUGGUAGCAUCCCAAACCCUUCUUUCCAAUUAAUGCCCAGCUUGCAUCUUUAGUUUGCCCAGUUUUGAUCCGGUGGGCAGCUCCUCCUCCUCCUGCCGUAAAAAGAGGCUGAGCGCAAGAGAGGAGGAGCGGCCAGCCAUUGAAGCCACGCCAUGCUUGGCCUCCUCCUGCCAAUGCAACAUUGUACGCAUGGCAUCACACGUGCAAUGCUGGGGCCCCUCAAUCUUUGGCGCAGGUUGGCAUCCCUGAACCAAUGAAUGAUGUGCUCAGAAGGCCUGGUAGCUCCUCUGAAACAGGCAGCAGCCUUCCCUCUGCUCAUCACUCUCGAACCCUCCAAGUGUCCCUGUUUUCCAGUGACAUCCCUGAUUUAGAGAAGCCAUCCCAGUUUCUGAUUUGAUCCCAGAAUGUCCUCCUUUUCCUUUGGAUGUCCACCUUUUCAUUCCAGAAAUGUUGGAGGGUAUGGAGUUACAGUGGUGCCUCGCAAGACGAAAUUAAUUCGUUCCGCGAGUUUUUUCGUCUUGCGGUUUUUUCGUCUUGCGAAGCACGGUGUCGGGAAAGUUUUGGAAAAGCUUCAAAAAUCACCAAAGUCUUCAAAAACCUCAAAAAAGGCUACCACACCGCGUGCUAUGAGUUGCUCCUCGAAGUCAAGUCGCAACUGUAUUAACGGUUUUAAGAAAAAGGAAACAAACUUGCAAGACAUUGCAAGACAGGAAAAUCGUCUUGCGAAGCAACUGAAAAAACCAAAACCCUUUCGUUUUGCGAGUUUUCCGUCUUGCGAGGCAUUCGUCUUGCGAGGUACCACUGUAUGCAACUCCUGAGCCAUCUAAUGGCAAUCCUGUAUAGGGAAGUGUUUUUUUAAGUUUAAUGUUUUAUUUAACCAAGACCAUAUAACACCGGUCCAGAAAGAGCUACAUCGGCUCCCAGUACGUUUCCGAGCACAAUUCAAAGUGUUGGUGCUGACCUUUAAAGCCCUAAACUGCCUCGGUCCAGUAUACCUGAAGGAGCUUCUCCACCCAUAUCGUUCUGCCCAGACACUGAGGUCCAGCGCCGAGGGCCUUCUGGCGGUUCUCUCACUGUGAGAAGUGAGGUUACAGGGAACCAGGCAGAGGGCCUUCUCGGUAGUGGCGCCCGCCCUGUGGAACACCCUCUCAUCAGAUGUCAAAGAGAUAAACAACUACCUAACAUUUAGAAGACAUCUGAAGGCAGCCCUGUUUAGGGAAGCUUUUAAUGUGUGACAUUUUCAUGUAUUUUUAAUCUUUGUUGGAAGCUGCCCAGAGUGGCUGGGGAAACCCAGCCAGAUGGGCGGAGUACAAAUAAUAAGUUGUUGUUAUUUAUAUUAUUAUUAUUAUUAUUAUUAUUAUUAUUAUUAUUAUUAUUUUCUAUAUGUUGGAAGCUGCCCAGAGUGGCUGGGGCAACCCAGUAAGAUGUGCAGGGUAUAAAUAGUAAAAUUAUCAUUAUGGAACGGGACGUCCCUAUUUUCAUGGGAGAAAUGUUGGAGAAUGAAGGCAGAGAUUGUGUGGCCCCGCAGAAGUGGCAGCAGGGCCUUGUAUGGGAUUCCAGCUGUGCCCCCUGCCUGCAUUGCAGGAACCAGCUGAGCAGGGGCAAAUGCCUUGGGGCAACGCUCCACCAGCGAUCCCAGAAUGCACUUGCAUAAACAGCCCCAGUCCCUCACUUGGGGAAGAGGCAGAGCCUGAGAAGCCAGGCAGGGAAGGCCAUAGGGGCGCAGGGCAGGGCAAGGAGGGAUCUCUCUCUCUCUCUCUUCCCCUCAAGUGUCACCCCAUCCUGUCUACUAGGGAAGAUGGAGGACUCACAGCUCAGUCAGUACACUUGGAGCAAGGAUAAGAGGAGUCUUAUAAGAGGAGCACUGGAGCCCUUCCCCCGCAAGAAGAAUGAAAUAACCUCGGAGUCGAGAGUGGAUUUCAUGCUCUUUAUUCAGCUCAUGGUGGUGAGGAGGAAUGGAAGUUCCCCCAGAAUGUCUGCUUUAUAUACAUUAUUUACACAAUGGGCCCCACAUGGUUGGCUAAUUCCGGGGUUCUCCUGUAGGCCAAUCAGUUUGCGGAUUCACUUCCACCUGGAGCUGGAUUGGGUGGCUCCUGUGGGCCAAUCAGACUGCUGCAUUCUGGACCCUAUUGUUCUAGGACCAAUCAGACUGCUGCCUUUUGGAUCCUAUUCAACUCAGUACAUAACAAAGAAUCUGGCAUCCUAUGGCAGAAGCACACUAAGACCCCACCACAAACUGACGCCACACUCACAAUCCCAGCCCAGCUUGAUUUACCCUUGCACAGAACAGUCACGAGGAGUCCUCUGUGCUGACUGACCGGAAUUUCUAUUGCAUCCUCACAGCCCUGGGUGAUGAGAGAUGCGUUCAUCCACCUUUCAAGCAGAAUUUUAUUGUUCUUGGAAACCUAUUUUAGCUCGUGAAUAGGGUACAGUUAACCUUUUUGUUUCCAAGAGAUGGGAUUAGCACCCUUGGCAAUGGUUCUGGGUCUGAGGAGAGAUGUCCGGGCUGAAGGAAUGCUGAAGGGCAACCAAUCUCUCAUCCUCUACUUCUGUUAGGUGGACGAGGUGAUGUGGGACGUGUCACGGGAGUUCGGGCUUUAAAAAGCUACCUAGUUCUGAACCGUCUGCCACAAUGAAGCCACAGGCCUCAACCCACUUACCCAAAAGUCGUCCCAAUCAGACUCAGGGGGCUGCUCAGGGGGAAGUGGUUGGAGAAGCUAAUGAACCUGCCUAAUCACAUUAUCCCAAUAGUCAUAAGCAACCACAUGUUAUUGAAUGCAUUUAAUGGGCUGGUUUGAAACACAUUAUUUACAGUAAUGAAUUCUAAAUGUGGAAUUUAUUAGGCCUGCCCAUGAUAUUAAGUUUGCAUACUUACAAGACAGAUAGACACCUAGCAGAGUCACUUUCCUCCAAAGUUAGUGUCCUCCUCGAGGCCUAUUUCUUACAAGUGAGUAAAUAAGGGGCAAGCAAUAUUUGUUUUGGUACCAAAGCAAUGAAUUCAUUCCUCUCCUUCUCAUUUCAUCUCCUCUUAGUCCUGCAGAACAAAAGGGGGCUAUUUGGGAAACCUCCUAUGAAAGCUAAAUUUUGCUUAGUGACCAAAGCAGACUAACAAUGCAAUCCUAUGGAUGUAUACUCUGAAAUAUAUGUGCUGGUGGGAGUCCAAGUGGCAGCAGCCAGCAGACGAUCGUGACGCUAGGAGUUCUGGUGGUGCAGAGGAGCUGAGUGUAACGGCACCAGCCCCAGAUUAGUGUAGCAAUGUAAACUGGCAAAAAUGUCUGAAUCUAAAUCAAAUCGGUGUUGGAAAUGGAAAGAGAAAGAAGAUUCUUUUUAAUCAUAUGUGGUGGUCUUGCAGUAAGGUUAAUGCUUACUGGGAAAUGAUAUACAGUGAAAUGAAAAAGAUGUUUAAAAUAACGUUUGCAUUUAAAAAAAACCCCAGAACCCUUUCUUUUGGGAAUUAUAGGGACAGAACUACCUAAAUUGUGUAGAAACUUAUUCAUGUAUGCGACUGCAGCGGCAAGAAUGUUACUUGCCUAAAAAUGGAAAGAAGCAGAAGUCCCAGCAAAGGAAGAAUGGAUACAAAAACUUAUGGAAUAUGCAGAAAUGGCAAAAGAAUAAGAAGAAGAAGAAGAAAUCAAGAUAACAAACAAACUUCGCCGGAAGAAUAAGAAAUCAAGAUAACAAACUUUUUAUAAAAGAAUGGAAAUGGUUUAUUGAAUAUUUACAUAUAAAUUGUAAACAGACAUUUAAACUGUAAACACUGGCAAGAUUAUUGUAAUAACCUGCAGUUACAUAAGAGUAUAUAUUUAAAGAAGAUAAAUAAAUAAGUUAAGUGAAUUUGGAUAGGUAGAAGAUAUUAAAGGUAAAUUUAAGGAACCGUAGAAAGAGGGGGGACGAAGUCAAGUUUUAAAAUGUCAAAAUGAUUGUAAAAUCAGUGAAAUUUAUAUAUCUGAAAAUUAUAAAUGUUUUUUUUUAAAAAAAAAACAAUACCAGAAUGGUGUAGCCAUGUUACUACCCCACCACAUUCUAUUCUGGCCCUAUGCUCAGGGUGGAAGUAGCGAUGGCGCCACCAUUCCAUAAGUCCCCACCAGUCCUUCCCCACCCUUGGAACAUCCCAUCUGGAGGGGAGGGACUUUUGCUGGCAGCCGCAGAGAGGGAUUUCACCAGCAACCUCCCCCCCCCAACACAUUCAGCGGGCAGAAAUGGCAGGUCAUUGUGAUGCCAGCUUAGACCCAAGAGACAGGCUUUUUUGAGGACCAUUGGCAAUUGCUGGCUGGGGCUGAUGGGCAUUGGAGUCUGAAAACAUCUGGAGGACAUUGAUGAGCCCACUCAAAUAGAAGCCCCCUACAUGAACCUAGCAGCUCUAACCUAUUAGAGGUUUUUUUAAAAAGUAAAGGACCCCUGGACGGUGAAGUCCAGUCAAAGGUGACUAUGGAAUUGUAGCACUAAUCUUGCUUUCAGGCCGAGGGAGCCAGCGUUUGUCCACAGACAGCUUUGCGGGUCAUGUGGCCAGCAGGACUAAACCACUUCUGGCACAAUGGGAACCAGAGCAGCGCACGGAAAUGCCAUUUACCUUCCUGCCACAGCAGUACCUAUUUAUCUACUUGCACUGGCGUGCUUUCAAACUGCUAGGUUGACAGGAGCUGGGACCAAGCAACAGGAGCUCACCCCGCCACAGGGAUUCAAACUGCUGACCUUCUGAUCAGCAAGCCCAAGAGGCUCAGUGCUUUAGACCACAGCGCCACCCGCGUCCCAACCUGUCAGAAUCCAGAGUUCUACUACCCAGGUUUUAUUGAGUGCUCAAGCUCUCUCUCUUUUUCUCAGCACAAGCUAGCGGGGCAGCCAUGGUGGCUACUUUACAGAUGCCAGUCCUCUGUUUGUAGAACUGUAGGAGGACAGUCCUCUAUUUGAAAGAACCCUCUGGUUAGAGGGCUGGUAGUAAAGCAAAUUAUUUGCAUAAGCGCAUUAUUUGCAUAAGCAUAUUAUUUGCUUAGGCAACUGUUAUUGACACAACCGCACAUCCAGACUUUCAAGCAAAAUUGCCACUAUAGUGACAUGAAGUUUAAAUGGUCAAUUGUUUUACUUUUAGCAGCACUAGCCAAAAUGUGGGAGUUUAAAUUUAUAACACAACAGAAAAGGGGUAAGUGAUAAAAGGACAGGGCCAGAAGGAAUAAAUCAGUGUGAGUGAGUGUGUGUGUGUGUGUGUGUGUGUGUGUGUGUGUGUAUAUAUAUAUAUAUAUAUAUAUAUAUAUAUAUAUAUAUAUAUAUCACUCUCAGGCACGAGUGUUUCCAACAUAUUAAUUUAUGGAGGGCCUCCUAUUGUUUUAGUGUAAACAGGAGUCAAAAUCCAUUGACAGUUGGAAGAGGCCAGCGAAAAUGUUUUCAAAGAAAGCUCUUUAGGAAAUAGCUGUUCCAUUCACUGAAACAGUUCCUGUAUCACAACCGCAGCGCUGUUCAAAUAUAAACAAAUAUUUUCAUUGCCACGCCACAAAGGGACUUCAGCAGAAAGCUGGCUAGAUAUGAAAACAAACUUUGGCAUCUAAAGGGCUUUUGAUACACAUGACUUACUCUUAUGACAAGAGGCUGUGCAGAGGAGCGCAAGAAGCUUAUUUCAUAUGGUACAAAAGACUUUUGUUUACCAUCUCUCUGGACAUCUUGGGAAUUGCAAGCAGCAGCACGGCUGGUGUCCUCGCUUUAUGGCUUCACAACGUGAAGGGAUUUAGAAAAGACUUAUGGGUUCAGCCACAAAGCAAAUGGGCUAUCCCAAACAGUAGCCCUCUGAGAGCAAUAUGGAAAAGUAAUGGAAAAAUCUAUACAAGGAGGUUGUGUUGUUGUUUUUUUAAGUUGGCAUAGUCCCCACUUCCCAAAACUAUCAAGGCAGUCGUUUUCUCCUUCUCAGCUUCACUUCUUUAUUAACCCCUCAACGUUAUCCAAAAUUAUAUUCCUGCUUUGCCCUACUACUUUAUUUUCUGCCAGAGAAAUGUAGAGUUUGAGACGUCAAGGACUAAAUUGCAGUGUUUUCAGCCCCUAAAAAUUCAUAAUGAGCCUUACCCUGUUAGAAGUGGGAUCAGGGAGGGUACGUAGUUUAUAUUUUAAGAAUAAAUAAUUUUACCAACGUCUCUUUUUUUUUAUUCAAAAUUAUAACAAGACAUAUUAUCCAAAAACAUAUCAUCCUUGUUUCCCCCCCCCCCAUUUUUCCUCCCUCCCCCAUUCUCCCACACAACCCCCCCCCCCCCCGACUUCCCUCAGUUCCAGUCUUUGGUUUCUCUGAGACUGCUGUUUUCUGCAUGUUACAAAGUUGUAUAGAUCCUCAAACUGUUUAGCUGAUUAUUAUCAAUAAAAAAUUUUUGAAUGUUUAUUCAGAACCUGCCAAGGAGUCCAGUUCGCUUUGUUGCAUCUUCAGAUACUUUGUAAAGGGUUCCCAUUCAUCCUUAAAGUCACAGUUAUGCUUGUCCCGUAGUUUGUAUGUCAGUUUUGCCAGUUCUGCAUAGUCCAUCAAUUUUUCUUUCCAUGAUUCUUUAGUUGGGGUUUCUUCAGUCUUCCAUCCUUGUGCUACCAGAACUCUCGUGGCCGUUGUCGCAUACAUGAAGAUGUUUUUCAGCUUUUUUGGCAGGUUUUCCCUACAAUCCCCAACAAAAAUCUUUAUAAUUUUUUUCUUUUAAGAGUAGUACAGAGCCCACAAUCACCUGCCAUGUGGAAGCAGCCUAAGAACACAAAAAGAGCCUGUUGAAUCAGGUCACUAGUCCAUCUAGUCUAGCAUCCUCUUCUCAUGGGGCCAACUAGAUGCCUGUGCAAAACCCUCAAACAGGAUUUAAAAAAAAUAAAUUCAAAAUUAAAACGAGACAUAUUAUUCAAAAACGUAUCAUCCUUGUCCCCCCCCCAUUCUCCCACACAACACCCCCCCCGACUUCCCUCAGUUCCAGUCUUUGGUUUCUCUGAGACUGCUGUUUUCUGCAUGUUACAAAGUUGUAUAGAUCCUCAAACUAUUUAGCUGAUUAUUAUCAAUAAAAAGUUUGUGAAUGUUUAUUCAAAACCUGCCAAGGAGUCCAGUUCGCUUUGUUGCUUCUUCAGAUACUUUGUAAAGGGUUCCCAUUCAUCCUUAAAGUCACAGUUAUCCUUUUCCCGUAGCUUAUAUGUCAGUUUUGCCAGUUCUGCAUAGCCCGUCAAUUUUUCUUGCCAUGAUUCUUUAGUAAUUUUACCAACUUCUGAGGGGUCAUGAUAAGAUAGGAUUUGGCAACCAGGUCCAACUUUCCCCACCCUUGCGCUAAUAGCUGCAUAGCCAACAAAAAUUCAACAAUUACAUUUUCCUAGCCUGCAGAUACUGUGAUGGGGAAAGCAUCAUCUCCUGAAAUUCUGCUCCUUAUGUCUGUGUUAAAGGCACAGGAGAGCUGCCCAGGAAAAAAGCUGGCAACCUUUCUCCCACAGGAACAGGGAUAAGUAUGAUUGGGUCGGAUGGCAAUGCUUUUAUAUUCCCAAGCCUGCCCCAUUUACAUAUAAAGGGUGGGGCUUAUGGCAUCUGAUUUCAUAACAAAAGUUUGCAUAGGUGAGAGGAGCUGAACCUUUCCUGCAUCCCAUGUCCCAUUGCGACAGCAGCAUCACCACCAUACAGAUAUGAUGGCAAAAAAUGGGUCCCCAAAUGCAUUUUGGGGGUUAAAGGUGGUGUCCCGGUCUUAUUCAACAUCUUUAUCAAUGACUUGGAUGAUGGACUCAAGGGCAUCCUGAUCAAAUUUGCAGAUGACACCAAACUGGGAGGGGUGGCUAACACCCCAGAGGACAGGAUCACACUUCAAAACGACCUUGACAGAUUAGAGAACUGAGCCAAAACAAACAAAAUGAACUUUAACAGGGAGAAAUGUAAAGUAUUGCACUUGGGCAAAAAAAAUGAGAGGCACAAAUACAAGAUGGGGGACACCUGGCUUGAGAGCAGUACAUGUGAAAAGGAUCUAGGAGUCUUGGUUGACCACAAACUUGACAUGAGCCAACAGUGUGACGCGGCAGCUAAAAAAGCCAAUGCAAUUCUGGGCUGCAUCAAUAGGAGUAUAGCAUCUAGAUCAAGGGAAGUAAUAGUGCCACUGUAUUCUGCUCUGGUCAGACCUCACCUGGAGUACUGUGUCCAGUUCUGGGCACCACAGUUCAAGAAGGACACUGACAAACUGGAACGUGUCCAGAGGAGGGCAACCAAAAUGGUCAAAGGCCUGGAAACGAUGCCUUAUGAGGAACGGCUAAGGGAGCUGGGCAUGUUUAGCCUGGAGAAGAGGAGGUUAAGGGGUGAUAUGAUAGCCAUGUUCAAAUAUAUAAAAGGAUGUCACUUAGAGGAGGGAGAAAGGUUGUUUUCUGCUGCUCCAGAGAAGCGGACAUGGAGCAAUGGAUCCAAACUACAAGAAAGAAGAUUCCACCUAAACAUUAGGAAGAACUUCCUGACAGUAAGAGCUGUUCGACAGUGGAAUUUGCUGCCAAGGAGUGUGGUGGAGUCUCCUUCUUUGGAGGUCUUUAAGCAGAGGCUUGACAACCAUAUGUCAGGAAUGCUCUGAUGGUGUUUCCUGCUUGGCAGGGGGUUGGACUCGAUGGCCCUUGUGGUCUCUUCCAACUCUAUGAUUCUAUGAUUCUAUGAGAACAUUGAAGACUACUGAUCAAAGAAAUUGCUCGAGCUACGAACAAAGUUAAGUGGCACACAAACAAAUAUCUUAGAGGCUUUCGCAGACAAUCCAGCAAGAGACACCAUCCAGUUUCCCUUCUGUCGCUCCUUGAGAGGAUUUCUAGUUCCACUUUAUUAGCGUGCUUUUGCUGAGCUGAAGGACUCGCCAUAUUUAGUCACAGAAUAUUAGUCAUGGAAAUAACUGAGUGACGGACUAUUUCUUUUCCUGACAGAUAAAGUCAUAUUAUACAGAAGUGUGAGGGGGCCGGGGAAGGCUGAGAGGAGGCAAGAGGAAGUUCAAUAAAUAAGAGAAACAGACCUUUUACAUUCUGAAAUCUAAGCAUGCAGAUUCUGCAUUCUGGGAAGAAAAUUUACUUAAGCAAAACAAAAUAACAAAAGGAUGGAAAACAGGUAUGCAGCCAAUUCCUCCACUCCACCAACCCAGUUCAUACAAACUUCUUAAAAAUUCUGCAGUUAUACGCUGAUCUCAAAUCUCUCACCUCUCACCACUGGCUUGGCCUUUGCAUAUCCAAAUUCUGAAAGGCUAAUUACUGGUCAAACCAAAAAGCACAGCUCUAUAUUCAUGUGCUACUGUUGUUGUUGUUGUUUAGUCGUGUCCGACUCUUCGUGACCCCAUGGACCAGAGUAUGCCAGGCACUCCUGUCUUCCAAUGCCUCCCAGUUUGCUCAAACUCAUGCUGGUAGCUUCGAGAACACCGUCCAACCAUCUCGUCCUCUGUCGUCCCCUUCUCCUUCUGCCCUCCAUCUUUCCCAACAUCAGGGUCUUUCCAGGGAGUCUUCUCUUCUCAUGAGGUGGCCAAAGUAUUGGAGCCUCAGCUUCACGAUCUGUCCUUCCAGUGAGCACUCAGGGUUGAUUUCCUUAAGAAUGGAGAGGUUUGAUCUUCUUGCAGUCCAUGGGACUCUCAAUGGGCUACUAGGAAUGGGCAAAUCUGUGCUACUAUUUCAUGUGCUACUAGGAAUGGGCAAAUCUGUCAAAUUUGGCUUUUCUCAGUUUUAAUUUUUCCAGUCUUACAAUUCAGUUUUCCAGAUUUCCUCAUCAGCUUGCCUUUUUUUUUUAAAGUGCUCAUGAGAAUCCACGAGCAUUUUAGUGCCAGCUUCUCAUAUACACAUUUUAUAUGCACAUUGGGCGAUUGUGCACAUUUUUGCAAUGUACUUUCCCCCAGUAGAAUGCAUUUUUAUAUGUUAUUUUCACUAAUAUAUACAUUUUGAUGCACAGUUUAUUCUGGUAUAUGCUUUAACUUCUUUUUUCAGGUAUAACGAGGCUGGAUAAUUACAUUGCAAAAUUCAGAAAAGUGCAAAUUUCAAAGGAUCUCAACAUUUCGGUUAACAUAUUGUUUCAAGUAAGUGCAAAUUUGAUUCACCUUUAAAUAUGAACUGCAUCAAACUUUUUCCCCAUCUCCAUCUGUCAAUGGAUGGGGGCCUUUAGUUUUUCAAUUUUCCCUCGCCAGCACUGACUAUUUCCUGCUUCCUUCCCCACUUAGAAUCAGCCUCAUGUUUCCUCUCAGCCAUGUGAAUCCCAUAUUCUGAAAGAUCAGCAAACACAUUUCUACCCCUUGGCAAUCAUUUUGGACUUCCUCUCCCAGACUCUGGGGCCAUCUUCACAUAGAGAAAUUCCUCGCACGGUAGCUAGCUGUCUAUCAUAAGUAGAGGCGGAGGUGUAUCUGGAUUGGUUAACAUUUCAGUGUAAACCUACACCAUCCACACUCUCUGAAACAACAUGCGGACCAAACCACAGCUAUCCUUUAAAAUUUGCACUUCUCCAAAUCUUGUGACGCAGUUCUCCAGCCCUCCCAAAAAAGGGUACAUAUUGAGGGGAAGUGUGCUUAUGAUGUAUACAUUUGUGAAAAUAACAAAUGAAAAAUACAUUCUAUUACUGGGAAUUGCUUCCAAAAUGUGCAUAUUAAGGGAGCACUAAAAAUGAGCACUAAAAUGCUGACGCGUUUUCAUGAUAACUUUUUUUUUAAAAAAAUGCAAGCUGAUGCAGAUAUAUGGCAAAUGGAACUUAACAAUGGGAAAAUAAAUGAAUAGUGGGGAAACCAAAAUUGACAGAGUUGCCCAUCUCUCAUUAUAAGCUAGCAUCUGUGAUACCUUAUUAUUAUUAUUAUUAUUAUUAUUAUUAUUAUUAUUAGUCCAUCAUGUCCAUCAGGAAGAUUGGUCCCUGCUAGUCCAAUAAAACCAUCAUGUGAUGCAGCUACCUAGGAGGCAAGUACAGUAACAGGGGGAGGAGGCUGUGGUCUUUGAGCCAGUCUCGGCCCAUGUGCUUUGGCAUUCCUCCAAAGGUGAGCCCACGAACACGGCUUCAGCUGAGAAGUGUUAUCUGUGCUCUCAAAGACAAUGUAAUUUGUAGGACUGCAGGGUACACAAUUUUGCUCCGUCUUUUUAAUGGCAUUAGAGUGCAGUCGGCAACACCCACUUCCACAUGUUGGUUGCGUUUAUGCCUCGGAGAAACCAGAACAUUUGUAACAUCAGAUCUGGCAAAGGGCCAGAUUUCCACAGGGCAUUAGUAACAAACUGGUGAAGCUCAUUAAAAAAAGAGAGAGAAAGAGAGAGAAACCUAUAACCAUUAAAAGUCCAUUAAGCAGCAUGUCAUUUUGUAGAGCUAAAUAGCCCACAGUAAUCAAAAGCAUAUGAACCCCAGCUGGGUUACCCAGCGAAUUGUUUCGAUUUAGGGGGAGAAUUCAUCAAGAAAGAUUGCUCUUCAGAUUGGGUUGAUUUUUCUCCUUCAGUUGCUGGCUCUAUGUUCCAUUAUAAUUAAAGUGAUUGAUGGAUCUCGCAGGCAGAGGUGAGGAGUGACCGAAAUAGCCAGGAACAUCCACUCCAGCCAAGUCAAGCAACGGCAGUGACUAAAUGCGGAACUCCUGCUGCAAAGCACGUAACUCGAGGUUCUUCUCCCACUGUCAAUUUGAUAUGGAGGGGAGAGAGGGGAGAGAAGUUUGCCUUCUUCUCUUUCCUGAGUCAUGUGCCAAGUUAUAAUUUUUGACUCACCAAAGGAGAGAAUUAUUAGGAAAGCAGAGGGAACCUGGAAAGAGAAGUCCAUCAUCUACACACUGAAAAACUGCAAAAUGAGUCAAUACAAAACAAUAAUAAGAACGCCAUACCUAUUUCUUGCACCAUAGCAAGGGGAAAGACACAGGUGAUGCUUUAUUGGGACCACCUGACCUUCCUACCCUCAGAUUUAGUGCUCCACAAUAGCCAGAGAAGACAGUGAUGGCCAGUUAAAUACAGUGGUACCUUAAGAACAGCUUAGUUUAUGAACAAUUUGGAUUAAGAAUGCCGCAAACCCGGAAGUAGGUGUUUUGGUUUGUGAACUUUGCCUUGGAAGCAGAAAAUGUUUCGCUUCUUGUUGAGUGUGUUCCAUUUGUAAAUUGAGACCCCCGCUGCUAUGGGGAAGCAUGCCUUGGUUUAAGAAUGUUUUGGUUUCAGAACGGACUUCCGGAACAGAUUAAGUUCGUAAACCAAGGUACCACCGUACAGAGCCAUGAAUCAGUUGCUGGUGGUUUCUAAACUGAACUCUGUCAUUUGUUUGCCAUGCAUGUACUCCGAAGAUCUAGGACACUAUUUCUUUUCUUGCUGUUGCUAGGUUUGAAACACAAGCGAAUGCCUACUACACCAUAGCCAGUUUGGAGUGGAGGCUAGAAUGUUGGACUAGAGAGAUCAAAGUUCAAAUCUCCACAGAGCUUACUGGUAAACUGCAGGCCAGUAUUUCUCAGCCUAACCUAACUCUUUGGGUUGUUGUGAAGGUAAAUGGGGGGGGGAGGGAAUGAUGUAUGCUGCCUUGGGGGGAAAGAUGGGAUAUAAACAGCGGUGGCCGGAGAAGAGGCAUGGGUGAGGCAUCACUGUUGACCUGACUUCCCAGUGCCACAUGCUGCUGCCAGUCACUGGGAGGGAUGUGGGGAGGCAGCAGAGAGUUUGCCAGGAUGCAGGCACAGAACCGGGCACUUCAGAGCCCACCCACAGGGCACCCUGCUGCCUUACGCCUACCCAUUCCGGUAACCUUCUAGAUAUAAAUGCAAUCAAUAAAUGAAAUGAAAUGGUUCGUCAAUCUUGAGGAUGAUGCCAAGCCAAAGUCUGUUGUUAGCAGACGACAAGGUGGACAUAUCUUGGUGAGCGCAGAGCAGAAGACUCGUGCAAGUGAACCUAAUCUCAAAAAGUCAAAACAGAACCCAUCCACCACAAAACAUCACCCCAGCCAGUCUGAUCAGGGAGAUGCUGUAACGCCUCUUUGCCAAAGAUGUUCAUUGACUACUACUGAGCAUUUUGAAAAUGCCAUUUGAGAAUUCUGAUGCCACUGUAUCUAAUAAGCAGAUGGACACCGCAACUGAAAUCAGAGUUAGGGCACCAGUUCUGUGUAGCAUCUGAAAUUAUGCAGCCUGGAUCCAAAGUGUUGUGUGUGUGUGUGUAUAACCAAAUAUGUCUAUGCGCACAGACAGCCUCUCUAAAUUACCCCUUCCAACUGUAGCUCCUCGUGAUCCAGGUUUUUCUCCAUUGACAAGGCAACCCCUCAAACUUGAUAAGUAUCUCACAGUGAGUCCCCUGUGUUAUAUUGUGGGGCUAUUGUACAAGAAGAACAAAUUCAGGGCUUGUUGUGCAAGCUGCAGCUUCUGAAAUGCCCUCUUCUACACAACUACUAAAGUUCCAGGAGACUUGCCACCCUUUCAUCUCUUUUUUACCAUAUUUCUUGCCUUAGGGGAAGCCCUCAUUUUUCCUUCUUCUCCCCUUCUCCCUCCAAGUCUGAUGUCUAGUCAUAAGAUCUGCCUGAUCACACCAAUGGCCCAUCUAGUCUAGCAUCUGUUCUCACAAUGGGAAACCAGAGGACCAUGGGAAAUCCACCAGCAGAAUUCUCCCCACUUGUGAUCCCCAGUAACUUUUGAAAGUGGAGGCACAGCAUAGUCAUCAUGCCUACUGGCCACUGAGAGCCUAAUCUGCCGUGAAUGUCUCUUAAUCCUCUUUUAAAGCCAUGUAAGAUUACAUCCCAUGGGAACCACCUCCACAGUUUAACUAUGCAUUGUGUAAAGAGGUAUUUUCUUCAUCCUGAAUCUUCCAACAUAUCGUUUCAUUGGAUACCGCAGGUGUUGUGGUAUGAUAGAGAAAUAAAAAAUCUUUCUAGCUCUUGCUCCGCACCCAAUACUGUAUAAUGUUGUCCCUACCCUCUAGGAGAGCACAAAAUAUGGUCUGAAGCUCAACAUCAAAAAAACUAAGAUCAUGGCUACUGGGCCCAUCACCUCCUGGCAAAUAGAAAGGGAAGAAAUGGAGGCAGUGAGAGAUUUUACUUUCUUGGGCUCCAUGAUCACUGCAGAUGGUGACAGCAGUCACGCAAUUAAAAGACGCCUGCUUCUUGGGAGAAAAGCAAUGACAAACCUAGACAGCAUCUUAAAAAGCAGAGACAUCACCUUGCCAACAAAGGUUUGUAUAGUUAAAGCCAUGGUUUUCCCAGUAGGGAUGUAUGGAAGUGAGAGCUGGACCAUAAAGAAGGCUGAUCGCCAAAGAAUUGAUGCUUUUGAAUUCUGGUGCUGGAGGAGACUCUUGAGAGUCCCAUGGACUGCAAGAAGAUCAAACCUAUCCAUUCUGAAGGAAAUCAGCCCUGAGUGCUCACUGGAAGGACAGAUCGUGAAGCUGAGGCUCCAAUACUUUGCCCCCCUCAUGAGAAAAGAAGACUCCCUGGAAAAGACCCUGAUGUUGGGAAAGAUGGAGGACACACGGAGAAGGGGAUGACAAAGGACGAGAUGGUUGGACAGUGUUCUCGACGCUACCAACAUGAAUUUGACCAAACUGCGGGAGGCAUUGGAAGACAGGAGUGCCUGGCGUGUUCUGGUCCAUGGGGUCACGAAGAGUCGGACACGACUAAAUGACUAAACAACAACAACCCUCUUACUUGCCUUUUUUAUAAACUAAAAAGUCACUGUUUCCAGCACUGGUGUGGGAACAGGACUGCCUCACUGCUGCAUUCCUUCCUCUGGCUCCCUGCUUUGUUGUCUUGCAAGUUCCUGGACAUGGCUGAAACAGAUCUUUUCCUUUAGCCAGCAAAAUCUAGGGUUGUUGUUUAUAGGUAGCAUCUAGUCUAUGGGCCACCGGUUAUCAGUCAGUGUUCUUUAUCAGUCUUUGCUUUUUAGACCAUCACACUCACAGGACUGCAGCUGAACCUCUUAGGAGUGAACACAAACAGCUAUUUAACGCAUGCUGGAUUAAUGGAGUAGGCACCUGAUAGCCAAAUGGGGAGCUGGCUGUCUCUAGCAUGCCCACAUAGUCAGGAAAAUGUUACCAGCACCAUAGGCAUGUACUGAUCACCAUUCCAAGGAAGCAAGAAAACAUUGCAAUUUGUCCUCCAGCUACUUCCAUAGAACGCUACUGCUCUGUAAAUGACCAUCUGUGUUUAUCCUGCGUGUUGAAUACAGAACAAAGCAAACUUCAUCCAUUCGCAGGCAAAGAGUUCCAACUGAAGUACUGCACUUUACAUGCAGUACAGCAGAGGCUUCUGCUAUAAAAGGCUGGCUUCUCAUGUCCUUUUAAAUAUAUAUAUUCGUGUGAAUUGCCAAUGGCCAAGAUUCAUUAAAAGACCUUUUAGGUUUCCCUAAAACACAGAGCAAAGAUCAACUUUACUGUGCAAAAGCCUACAUUUCCCCCUAGUAUAGUAUCUUUGAAGAGCUGCGCUGCUACAUUAGUCUAGGAAGCAGCAAUGGUAGCUGUAAUGGUACUUUCUAAAUGAAGGGUCAGCAACAGUGUACAUAUGGCCCCUUGCUCAUUUCUCGCCAUGUGUUGUUAAAAGUUCCGGAUUGUAACAACAAGAACAAAAGAUGGCAAAAUCCCAAAGGAUCGGAAACGAAGAAGAAGGCAUGUAAAAAGGAGCCAAAAUUCACUUGACUGAAAUGCAUCCAUUUAUGUAGGCUUCGUGUUCCACACUUUUAAUUAAGCUCUUGAGGAUUAUCACCUAAUUCAGUGAAAAUAGAGAGAGUUGGCUGCAUGAUUCUGUCGGAUAACAUAAAAGGAGACAAACACAAGUUUCAGACCCUUGGGGUCAAUAGCAACUGGUGGAAAGAAAGCGAUUGUGCAAGAGAAAUAAAUCUGAUUGUUAAGGAAAGAAACUCAAUGAGAGAAACAAAAUGAGGGAAGGGAUUGUUUUUUUCUUCUCCCACCAUCUCCUCCCCCCUUUUUUUUUUUGAAUGGGGAUUCCCAUGGGAAUUGGGCUGAUGCUGAGGGAUUAUUUAAACAAGAAAGCCAAGGUUAGCACCAGUUAAUGACCAGUUUGUUAGCUAACAGGCUGUUAACACUCCAACAAACUGGUUGUUAAAAGUGGUUACUGCGUAUUUUGUUGGAGAUUUAUUAGAAACUUGUUUCAACCAUUUAAUGCGGGGAGGGAAUUGCUUUAAUGUGCACACCUGGAAGUCCACAAAGCCAGACGAUGGUCUGAAAGUGCUCUGCUUGGAUUUAAAUGAAAUUAAUAAUAAUAAAAAUAAACCUUACCCAGCAACAGUUCUCUUUCCACCUUCUUCCCCUCCUCAUCCCCAGUAAUGGAGAAUGAGAUGCGUACUGAUUCUUUAAUAGAUUCAUAGCUAAUAAGACCCACUUGAACGCUCAUUAUUUAGUAGUAUCAUUAUGGUAAGUGGGUCUGAUCGGUCUGCAGCAGCCCAGUGCAAAUCUCAUAAUUAUUAGACAAAACUUUGAUAAAACUCAUAACAAUCUCUCAGGGGGCUUAAUCCAUUUGCAGAUUCUGGAGGGAGAGAGAGAGAGAGAGAGAGAGAGAUUAAAAUACCUAUUUAAAAAUGCAAGGAAAUGAUUUCCUAAAAUGGAAUUCUGAGGGCAAGCGGUUAGAACUAAAUUCAUUUUGAUUUCUUCCUCUCAUUGUACCCCAAGAGGGAAUUGUUGUGUGCACCCCCAUGGAUCUUUACCUCACAACAGCCCUGCGAGAUAAAUGAGAGGCUGUGGAGUUGCCAAAGGCCACUUUGAGAAGGCCAAGCUGCUUGCGUGUUCAUGCAUCUGCCCUGUUUGUGUAUCUUCAUUCUCUCUGUGUGUGUGUGUGUGUGUGUGUGUGUGUGUGUGUGUGCGCGCACACACACACACACACAGCCUUGAUUUUUGCAAUAAAAGUUUUGGGGGGCAAGAAGAACUGAUCUCAGAGCCAGUUUCAGCUGUGAGAGGUCCUAACAAAACACCGCUGAACCUUUUGUUACGUAAAUACAAUACUGGUAACGACACACACGACGUAACAGGCUGUAUGUAACAGUAUAACUUUUAUUUCAAGAACAAUUCAACAUAUCUUGUCACAAUAUGUAAUUCCAUAGACCAAAUUACCACAUGAACGGAACAUAUACUGAGAGAUUAACGUCCAAUGGAUUGAUCAGGAGAUACAGUCUAUUCAGUUCUUAUAUUAGCAAUAACCACGAUGUGGAAUGCUUAUUAUCAAUCUUGUAGUGUUCCACGUGUCGAUGCUCUUGUGAAUUCUAGCGUUCCUUGUAAGUAGUUAUCAGAUGAAAAACUGGAAAGUAUGGCACGUGCAGAAAAUAAGACAAGGAUUCCAGGAUAAUUUCUUGUUUCACCCAACUGGGCUUCGUCAGCCGUGCAUAAUCUGGAUUAUAUAAACGAACAUACAACUCAGCAGCAUCCUAAGGCAUUGUGGGAAUUUUAAAUGGCAGCUCUGAAGCCCAACUGCCUAGCACUGGGAAAGGCAUCAUCGUAGCAUUGGCCUUGUUGGAGCAAUGGAAUGGCGGCAGCAGCUGUACUUGUCUAUGGGUGUCAAAUGGGACCUUUUCUCCAAAUGCAAAUAGCAGCUGUGUGUGUGUUAGGACUAUGAUGGAGCCCCAAUCCUGCUUGCCCCACACCCAGCAGUGGCUAUUGGCAUUUUUUAAAUCAUUCAUGCUAAAUGCAAUAAUGCAUUAGGUAUCACAGCCCAUUUGAUUCUCCAUUCCUUUAUUUAACAUUACCUCAUAACUUAUUCCUGUGACUGCAUGCACACUUGGGAGCAAAUACAUUGAACCUGCAGGAACAUUGACACACUGAAGUAGGAUGCAAGAAGUCACAGGGAAUAACCUGUUUAUGUGCACAGAUUACACAAAACAGUAAAACGACAAUCCUAAACAAACUUACUAAGCCCUGUGAAAUUAAUGCUUCUUACUUCCAAAUAAAUAUUUACAGAUGGUAAGUCUUGUGCUUGCUUGUUUGAUUAGGGCCCGACACACAGAAUUGUCCAAAAGCAAGAGAACGUUGGUUAAAGAUAUGUCAGAGUAAAACAGCAGACAUUAAGCUGGAAUGUGACUCUUUGUUGCUCUUAUGUAAGUUUUGUAAUAUUGCAGAAUAUUUAUGCAAAAAGUGGAGAACAUCAGUAAUUCCUUUCAUUGAUGGGAGUGAGAAUAGGAAAGUAUGGCUGUGCCAUCAUAAAUGAUGAAAAUGAGAGAGUAAAGUAUAUGAGUAUGCAGCUGUGUCUUAAUUACCGUAUUUUUCGCACCAUAGGGCACACCGGACCAUAGGGCGCACCCAGUUUUUAGGGGGGGAAAUCAAGGGGGGGAUUUUUUCCCCCAGCCCCAAAGAGCAGCGUACAGGCUGCGCACAACCUCUUCCUGCCGGAGGGGUUACGCGCGGCUAUGGCACAAGCCAAGGCAGCGAGCAGGAUGGAUCCCACUCACUGUUUUGGCUUCCUCUUUAGCCCCGCACAACCUCUCCUUGCUGGGAGAUGCUGCGCAGGGCUAAAGAAGCCAUAGCCCCGUGCAGCCUCUCCCUGCCGGAGGGGUUGCGAGCAGCUAUGGAGCAAGCCAAGGCAGCGAGCGGGAUGGAUCCCGCUCGCUGUUUUGGCUUCCCCUUUAGCCCCGUGCAGCCUCUUCUUGCCAGGAGACGCUACGCAGGGCUUCUCCUGGCUUUCUUGGGAGGUGGUUGGAUUCCCUCAGCUCUCCCAAAAGCCCGCAGAAGCCGCGCAACCCCUUUAAAGAGAUCACGGCUUCUCCUGGCUUUUCUGGGAGGUGGGAGAAGGGACUGAUGCGGCCAGUCAGUCCCUUCUCCCUCCUGUGGAAAAGCCCGCAAGAGCGCACGGAGCUUGUGUGCGGCUCUUGGGGGCUUUUCCCGCCUGCCUCCCCCCUGCAUUCGCUCCAUAGGACGCACAGACAUUUUCCCUUGCUAUUUAGGAGGGAAAAGUGCGUCCUAUGGUGCGAAAAAUAUGGUAAGUAAAGGAAUUCUUUGUCCCAAAGGUUAGCUAAGCAUCCUUUUUAUCUGGCUUCUGUAGGUAAUUAAUUAUGUGCUGCUUGGUGUAUUGAUUACUAGCACUGUUUUGUUUUGUUUUUAAUUUAAAAAAGUAUUUGCUACUGUUUUAUUAUUUGCUUUAUUUUAUUUUCAGUAUUUAUAUCCCACCCUUCACCAAAAGGUCAAAGGGCCAAUCACAACAUGUUAAAAACAGAACAACAAAACACCACAAAGAGUUUUUUAAAAUCCAACAAUCCUUAGUUCAUUUAAUUACAGUUCCUACAUAUCUGACAAUAUAGACAGUAUUCAUAGUAUCAUCUGCCUACUAGCCAAAUGAAACUGUUUCAACCAGCCACCAAAAAAGCCACUUAACACAGGGGCACGACUGAUUUUUAGUUUGGUUAAUUUGCAUUUUCAUGACUGGAUUACUGUUGCUUUUAUGCUUGAUUUUUUGAAAACAACCAAGGCCACUUCUCAUGGAACUUUGGGAAGGGAAUGCAGUUCUCCUUAUAAGUACAGUUCCCUGGAUUCUUUGGGGGAGCCGUGACUGUUAAAACAGUAUAAUCAUGCUUUAAAUGUAUACCUGAAGGAGCGUCUCCACCCCCACCGUUCUGCCCGGACACUGAGGUCCAGCGCCGAGGGCCUUCUGGUGGUUCCCUCAUUGCGAGAAGUAAGGUUACAGGGAACCAGGCAGAGGGCCUUCUCGGUAGUGGCACCCGCCCUGUGGAACGCCCUCCCACCAGAUGUCAAAGAGAAAAACAACUACCAGACUUUUAGAAGACAUCUGAAGGCAGCCCUGUUUAGGGAAGUUUUUAAUGUGUGACAUUUUAAUGUAUUUUUAAUCUUUGUUGGAAGCCGCCCAGAGUGGCUGGGGAGAUCCAGCCAGAUGGGCGGGGUACAAAUAAUGUAUUAUUAUUAUUAUGCAGAUGGCACCCAAAUGAUUUGGAACAGUGGCCGGAUAAGUACAGUGGUACCUCAGGUUAAGUACUUAAUUUGUUCCGGAGGUCCGUACUUAACCUGAAAUUGUACUUAACCUGAAGUACCACUUUAGCUAAUGGGGCCUCCUGCUGCUGCUGCACCGCUGGACCACGAUUUCUGUUCUCAUCCUGAAGCAAAGUUCUUAACCCGAGGUACUAUUUCUGGGUUAGCGGAGUCUGUAACCUGAAGCGUCUGUAACCCGAGGUACCACUGUAUAUGAACGAGGCCCUUUUAUAGAAAAUUUGUCCCAUAAUGACCAAUAAUAACAUCAAUGGCAUACUAAUCAUCUUGCCAGUUACCACUUCAGAUAUGACACCCUUUAAAAAGAAUUCUCAGUCAGUCUCAGGACUGGGAGCGAAUUAGACUCCAAGAAUCCUGACACACGAUGCAGCUUCUCUCCUUCCCUUGUUAUUUCUGUAUACUGAUCUUCUUUGUUUUUCAGUCAGUCCUCACUUCUAACCUCAUGGGCUUCUAUCAGCCUUCUCUGAACAACUGAGAUACACUCACCCCAUUGGUUAAUGAUAUUUCAUGAGCUAUAUUAGGAUUUCAGUGGCAUUGCUCUGGCCUUGUUUGCAAGAGCAUUUCAAAUAAGAUCAUGGACAUGCCUGAACUCUUAAUAAUUCUUGCAGUAACACUGCUUAAAAUCAGGUAGGCUGACAACGGGAGAGAAUAACUGAUAUUUUCAUUUAGCAGCAGAUGUGACUGGGAUUUAGAGGACGGUCUGAUUGAUGUCUCGGCUUCACUUAAAAUAAAAUAAUUAGGCGAGUAAAAAAUCUGAAAAGUAUAUUUUCAUUUUAACCGGCCUGCACUCUCUUCCGGGCUCCGAAGAAAGAAAGAAAGAUGACGGAACGUUACAAGAAUUGAAAUGAAGAGUCUGAAUAGAAGAAAUGAGCUGCUGUAGAUUAAUGGCAGAUGAGCAGUGGAUAUGAAAAUGGGGCUGGGAGGAUUUAAAUAAUCAGCAACUAAGAGGAAAAACCAAUAGUUCAGAAAGGGUGUAGAGAGCUCCAUUAACAACCAUUUUGGAAGGUAACAGAGAGUGGACAACAAUGUCAAAGGAGCAGUAAAGAGGCUCGAGUCUCAAGCUGGGGAAAUGAAUAAAACACCAGGAACAUGCUCACUUGGUUCCAUCUUGUAAGAAAUAUAAGACCCUCAGCAGGACUCCUUCAACCCACAACUUCCAUGUGCUGACAAGCAAGACAAGGCCCAUGAGCCAUGAGAGCGAAAAGUCUUGGUCCCCUUUUGCCUGAGGAUGACCAGAUGAAUGCAGAUGCAGGUGAAUCGACACCUGGCCAGAGCAAAGCUGUGGAAAUAUUUGACAGCAAGGUACAACAUCCUUCCUCAUUGGCAGGGAUCCUCAUUUUCAACUCCUGCAAAUUUUGUUCGAGGUCAAAUAAUAAAUGCAGUUAUAAAAGGAGUAAAAUGGUGAUUGCACCACCCGUCAAUGUACACACAGGUCCCACUUCCCAAACAGAAUGCAUUCCCAAUACAGUGUUCGUUAGGUGAGCAUUCGCAUAACGAGCCAUUCUUUCUUAUGGGAACAUUUCUAAUCUGUGAUCUCCCAAUGCCACCAUUGUUUUGUCUUAAAAUGGCCACAGCCAACCAGCAAAAGAGGGGCAAAGGAAAAGAUCUGUCCAAUCUCUCCAGCUCUCUCAUUUGUCCAAUGUCUGUCCCUGCUCCCUCUCUCCAUGGUUUCUGCCCCAGAAUGGCUGCCAUCAACCAGAAAAGCACAAAUAAGUAGGCAUGUGAUAUCUGAGUCGGCCAUGUGUGUGUAGGGUUGCCAUAUUUCAAAAAGUAAAAACCAGGGCACCUUGAAAGUUUCUGAGCUUUUUUGGACAAACGCCAAAGUUGUUGAACUUCUUUUUUACAAAAAUGCCCCCAAAAUGCGAUUUUUUUGAUUAACUUGCCUAAGAUUUACAUCUUUUGGAAAUCCCACCCCCAGAUGUUGAUUCCACCUUUGAAAUCCCGGUAAUGUCUGGGAAAAUCCAGGCAUAUAGCAGCCCUAUGUGUGUGGCAAGGUGUGGGUAAAAUUCUUCAUGGUACGUGAAUUUUCGCAUAAGAAGCAAGCCAUCCAUGGGCCCCUUUAUAUUGUACAUCCUUGAUUAUUUCUGCUCAUGGUGGUAUUGGGGCAGUCACACUGCUUCGUUUCCAAUCAGUGCAAGCCCCAUAAUCUGCUGAAAUUCUGUAACCUUUUACAGUGGUACCUUGGGUUAAGUACUUAAUUCGUUCCGGAGGUCCGUUCUUAACCUGAAACUGUUCUUAACCUGAAGCACCACUUUAGCUAAUGGGGCCUCCUGCUGCCGCCGUGCCGCCGGAGCAUGUCAGGGAACUGGGGGCUGAGAAGGGGAAAACACUGGGGAAAUACAGAGAGCAGCCUCCGAUAGUGAGCAGCUGCCCCUCGUCAGAGAGGGAGGAUGACGAAAGGUUGUCAGGGAGCAAUGAAUCAGGGAGGGGGGAGCAACUUCCGGGGCUUCGCUCUUUACAUAAAGGAGGCAGGAAAAGGGGAGGCUUCAGGAAGUUGUUAUGCUGGAGAAAAGGAAAGGAGGGGCCAGUCUCGGCAACUGACACCGAAUGAGGAGGACAUGCUUUUUGAGAGCUCCGGAUUGUAAAUAGUAUAAUGGACUUAAUAAAUCUUGUAAAGCUGGCUGGAGUCCCGGGCUGUUAUCUCUUCUAGCACCCAUCAACCAACCUCCUUGACAGAGCACGAUUUCUGUUCUUAUCCUGAAGCAAAGUUCUUAACCUGAAGCACCAUUUCUGGGUUAGCGGAGUGUGUAACCUGAAGUGUAUGUAACCUGAAGCGUAUGUAACAUGAGGUACCACUGUAUACCAGAAGUGCUCCAGGGAUUGGGUCUGUUUUUGUUGUGCUAUAGUGCCACAGUGCCCUCCCCCAUAUGCCUAUAAUGGGAUAACACUGAGGAUGCGUCUCAGAACAACUUGUAACUUGGAAUAAUGUGUGGACAGUCCAGUAUAAAUCCACCACGAAUACAAUAACAAAUACAAAUCAAUAACAUUUUACAGAAUAUACUCAUGGGGAAAAAGAACACUCUGGUCUUUUUACAUCAGUAUGAGACACCUUGUCAAACCCAUUUACAGUAUCGAUGCCAUUGAGGUUGCUGGGAAAAGCAGAAAGAACCACAUUUUGUAAUGGGGAAAAGGAUAGGGUUGAUUAUGUGGAUCCAUAAAGUCUGCGGCAGGAAAUAUGAACAAACCUUUGACUAUUUCCGUAGGGCUUUUGUUCGACCCAGUACAGGACUUCCAAGAUGGCAGUCAACACAGCAGCUUCAGAACUCUCAGGCAUGUUCAGGACACAGAACUUAAAAGCCUACCUGCCUACUGCUCCAUAACACAUUUGCUCUAGUAAAUAAAGUUUACUCAGCUAAAUUGGCCAAGAGUCCACCCCGGCUUCUGGGUAAUGCACUCAGUGAUUCAGGGGUCGUUUCUUCAAAAGGCAGAGGAAUAAAAUAAUACUAGGAAGUGGUCAAAUGGAAUGUACCAAUUAUUCAACUUGAUUCCUCUCUGCUAAUUAAGAGAACAAGCAACUUCUGAUUAGUAGGAAAGCAAACUGGCGUUGAAAGGAUGGCAUAGUAAUUAUUUUCUAGGCCUAUGUGCCCUUCAGAUGUCAUUAAAAGUGAUUUCUCUUCAAGCUCAGUUCAGGGAUAACUAUCCUUGAGUCCUGUGGCUUGGCUCAAGUUUUCUGGAGCAGAGUUGCUGCCAGCAGACCAUAAGAGAAAACCAGCCCUGAUGUGGUACCACUUCAGGCUGCAGCGGGGUCUGAACCCAAGAACAAACUACAUUUCUUCAGAAAAAUCUAGUGUGUGUGGAUCCUCAGCAGACCAUUUUUUGUAUAGCACUUAAAAUAUAUAUAUAUAUAUAUUAUUUGAUGAUGAAGUAGAAGAAGUCUGGGAGAAAGCUAGACUAGAAUCCCUGUCCCUGGCAUUUGGGCCCAUUGCGAUACACACGUCCCAAGGAGUAAGCCUCAAUGAGUAUACACUCAGCUCUGACUAGACAUGCAUAGGAUUGCUCUAUUAAUAUUCUAUAGUAUCAUGGCCACUGGUCCUGUCACCUCCUGGCAAAUAGAAGGGGAAGAAAUGGAGGCAGUGAGAGAUUUUACUUUCUUGGGCUCCAUGAUCACUGCAAAUGGUGACAGCAGUCACGAAAUUAGAAGACGCCUGCUUCUUGGGAGAAAAGCAAUGACAAACCUAGACAGCAUCUUAAAAAGUAAAGACAUCACCUUGCCAACAAAGAUCCGUAUAGUAAAAGCUAUGGUUUUCCCAGUAGUGAUGUAUGGAAGUGAGAGCUGGACCAUAAAGAAGGCUGAUCGCAGAAGAAUGGAUGCUUUUGAAUUCUGGUGCUGGAGGAGACUCUUGAGAGUCCCAUGGACUGCAAGAAGAUCAAACCUAUCCAUUCGGAAGGAAAUCAGCCCUGAGUGCUCACUGGAAGGACAGAUCCUGAAGCUGAGGCUCCAAUCCUUUGGCCACCUCAUGAGAAGAGAAGACUCCCUGGAAAAGACCCUGAUGUUGGGAAAGAUGGAGGGCACAAGGAGAAGGGGACGACAGAGGACGAGAUGGCUGGAAAGUGUUCUUGAAGCUACCAGCAUGAGUUUGACCAAACUGUGUGAGGCAGUGGCCAUGGGGUCACGAAGAGUCGGACACGACUAAAUGACUAAACAACAACAACAUUCUAUAGGGAGUUUUAACAUGGAGCAUUCCCCCAAGCAAUCGCUCACCUGUACUCUGAAAUGCUACACUUCUGAAGCAGUUGUGCCCAAGAUCUGAAAGUAUAAGUUUUCAAAUAUCCAUGUGUGACUCAGAAGGCAAAAAUGUGUCUCUAAAGAGCAACUAGAGUUGAAUGCAGAUAUUCAUCAUACAGUUUGUUUCUUUAAGGGAGCAGAACCCACUGAAAUAAAUAAAGCCAGACAAAUGUUCAGGUGAUGCUAUAGCCUGGGAUUUUAGUUAGAUACAUUUUUGCUAUUUGGUUCUGAUCAGCGGGGGGGGGGGGGCUUUCUCUUUAUCAUAUUUAAGUUGUUUCUUAUCAAUACUGUAAUUUAUCUUAUCCAACUAUGGAGUGGAGAAACUGCAUAAAAAAUAAGACGGGAUUAUGCUACUGGUCACCUCGACACCACAGACAACAGCACACUUCAGAGGGCAUCAAAGGAACUUUAGGAAAUAUGUGCAGCUGCAUGGAUUUGGAGAGUUGCAAUGAACAGGAAAAUGACACUCUGACCCUCAAUUAAUGUUUUAAAGGUAAGCACCCCAAGCCUGUUUGCUUGCCAUUAAUGGUACAUGGAAAUUGUGCGAUAAGGGCCCUCAAGAGUGGGUACGGCUCAAAAAACCUUAUAUCUAGCAAUGCACAGAGUUAGAAUAGAAAUCAGAUCAAAAGUAUGUUGGUAGUAGCACUUUAACCUAACUGUUGACAGAUGGAGAAUGGAAGCAACAUAAAUGCUCUCUUUUUGUGUCAGCACUAUAAAAAUGUCUGACUAGUCCAUGAAAGAUGGAGAUGAAAGCUCAGGCAGCCAUUAGAAGCUGUGCCUUACCUCGAGCAAUAACUCAUUCCCAUGGUAUUAUGAAAAUGGUUUUAUCGCAGUGGAUUACUUUUUUCCUUCUCUGCAAAAAUUACUGCUUAUCAGCACUGCAGAAAUAAAGCAAGCAACUCCCCGUCUUUUUUCUUCUUCUACUACUACUACUUCUUCUUUUCAAACUCUCUCCGACACAAUCUCUUACCGGUGGUCAGGAAUUUAAUAAAAUAUAACAUUUCAUUUAACUGGUUGCCUUGCUUCUUUGAAGCUGAUUCCAUUAUCUAAGGGAUGGUGCUUUCAAAUGACCUGCUAAUAAGGUGUUGCUUUUUGACGGCCUGUUGCAUUUAUUUAUCUGUAUAUUAAUGCUUAGGGAUUGUGUUCCGAUUGAAAUUCAAGACAGACCGCUAUAUACAUCCAAUGCUAGAUACGUUCAAAAACAGGAAUAUUUAAUCAAAUAUCCUGGUGCGUUUGAGCUGGUGGCUCUUUGGGAACUGCAAAACAGGAGUGAUGCAAGGCGCUUAAAAAAUUGGGGAUACGGGCCUAUAGAAACACAUUUGCAUAAUACUGUAUGCUAAUUUCUAUGUAUAGAUGCAAAUUCAAAUGUAAACGUUACAGAUGGGAAGCCAUCCAAAUCACCCCAGAUAAUAUUUUAAUUAAUUCACACCCUACCCCAGAUCACUGCAAAUCACUUCCUCUUCAUUUCAUUUACCCCUAAUUAAUUUCCUAACAAAUCCUGGUCCAAAUAAAUUCAAUUACCCUCAUUCAUUACCCCCAAAUCAUCUCUAGAUAAUGGCAGAUUCAAUUAAUCCAUUCCCCAAAAUUAAGAUCCUGCCCAGUAACCCAAAUCACAUAUACUUAGUUCAAUAUCUCCCAAUAUGCACGCAGAAGCACUUUAGGAAUUUGGGGGGGGGGCAACCUUUGUGUGCAUACCCCAUGGGCCCAUGCCUAGCAAAGUUCCUGCUGCAAAAUGUUCCUCCAAAGUCUGUAUCUCAUAGUCUGGGGGUGCCUUUGGACCCAUCUUUGUCACUAGAGACCUUGGAAGCCUCAAUAGUUAGAGGUGACCCCUGUCAUCCAUGCACUGGUAAACUCCGGGUUGGAUUACUGCAGUACACUCUAUGUGGGGCUGCCCUUGAGGUUGGUCCAAAAGCUGAAACUGCUGCAACUCGCUCAACUGCUCACUGGGUCAAGAUGCCCCACAGCUAGAAGAAUUGAACUUGGCUGCCAGUUAGCACCUGGGCUAAGUUCAAGGUGCUGGAUUUGGUGUGUACAGCUUGGGACCAUGGCACCUGAAUUAUUGUCUCUGCCCUAUACACCUUUCAGUCUCUGUGCUUUGCAGGCGAGGGACUCCUGCAGAGACCAUCUUAUCAGGAGGACCAUUCUGGGUAACACAGCAAUUGGGCCUUUAGGGGCCCAUGCCCUUUGGUAUUUCCUCCCCUUGAAUAUUAAACAGGCUCCAUUUCUGUUGUCUUUUUGGCACCUACUGAAGAUCUUCCCCUUUCAACAAGCCUUAUAAGUUGAGAUCUUUCCCUGUUUGUAUCUGUGUUGGACCUGUUUUAAGAUGGUCUUGGAUAUUUGAAUUGCCUUAUCGUUUGUGUGUUUGCCACCCAGGGCUCCUUUGGGAGGACCAGUAGGCUAUAAAUUUAAUAAAUAAUGAUAGAUAAUAAAAAGCAGGACAUAAAACUAAGUGUUUUCAAUACAUGGCAGAGAUGGCUAACUUGUGGUCCUUCAGAUCAACUGAAGGCAUAGGCAAACUCCAGCCCUCCAGAUGUUUGGGACUACAACUCCCAUCAUCCCUAGCUAACAGGACCAGUGGUCAGGGAUGAUGGGAAUUGUAGUCCCAAACAUCUGGAGGGCUGGAGUUUACCUGUGCCUGUUACAGCUUCCUCCAUCCCUGAUAGAGGGCCAAUUUUCACGUCAGCAAGUUUGCCGAUGGAGUUGUCAAAUGUUCCUAUGGACUGGCUACAGGAGCAACUACUUCAUUGUAAGCACUCACAAAAACAACCUGUUUUACAAAAUGUGGCUAGAUUUUUAAAUGUAUAUAUGUAUCAGUGUCUCUGAGGCAGAACUUGGUUGCUCCAGUAAGCAUAAUAAAUGGUGCCUCGUUUUUCAUGCAAAACAACAGCAUAAGGUGUACUUCAAACUUGGCUGUGAGGACUUACAUAACAACCUUUCAACUUUACUUGUCUAAUUUUCAUAACAGCCUUCUUAUGAGCUGUCGUGUCAAGGCUCAAAUAAUGGCAAUACGAUUCCGUGACAGCUUACCCAUUAUUAUAGCUUCAAAUAAUAUGUAAAUAAUAUUUAAAUUAUUUCUUUCCAGAACUAUUAGUGCCAGUCAAACAAACUCAGAUUUUGUCUUAACUUUAAGAGAUGAGACAAUAUAUUAUAUUGCAUAUAUAAAAACUACUUGCCGAUCAGAAGGUCAGCGGUUCAAAUCCCUGCGAUGGGGGGAGCUCCUGUUGUUCGGUCCCUGCUCCUGCCAACCUAGCAUUUCGAAAGCACAUCAAAGUGCAAGUAGAUAAAUAGGUACCGCUCCAGCGGGAAGGUAAACAGCAUUUCCGUGCACUGCUCUGGUUCGCCAGAAGCGGCUUAGUCAUGCUGGCCACAUGACCCGGAAGCUGCCUGUGGACAAACGCCAGCUCCCUCGGCCGGUAGAGCAAGAUGAGGGCCGCAACCCCAGAGUCGUCCACGACUGGACUUAAUGGUCAGGGGUCCCUUUACCUUUACAGUCCACAAACCAUUUAUUCUUGAAAAGUCACAUUACAGAAUAAUCAACAAAAUAGGAUACUGUAGAAUGCAACCCAGGUCCUGUGUGGUCUGCAGACCACUGGAGUCCACAGAACCCACCCAGGGGUUCUGUGGCACAUACCCAUCAACUGUCUGGGAUAUCCCAUUGGGAUGUUGGGUGACACCCCAAAAUGUGCAAGAUUGUGGCCGGACAUGCAUCUUCCGUGAGAUUGCGGCACCCUAAAACAUGUGUUUGGGGACACUGUUCUCUUACACGCGUCACAUGACUCACAUGGGAAUGCAUCUCGGAAUAUGCACAGCCUAGUGAUGCGCUGGGGCACGUUGGAGGGUAUGGUGGAACCAUUCACAUAACGAAAACUACCACAGAGAUAGGAACAUUUUUCAAAAUUAGGGGGCCUAUGACUUGGCUUUUUGAAAAACAAGGGGUCCUCAUUACUUAGCUAAUUGGAAACCACUGGCCGUGUGUGUGUGUGAGAGAGAGAGAGAGAGAGAGAGAUGUUAGCAAUUUCACUCCUCCGAUGCUGCAGAUGAGAUUGUUGUAAAUCACAUGCCUGUCUAGGACGAGUCUGGGAAAGGAAGACGGUCUUAUCUCUUCCGCUGCGGGUACUAUUAUACUGUACUUUCGCUUUUAUUUAUUUCUGUUUGUUCUCUCGGAGCUGGAGAGAACAGACGCCAUUAUGCUUUUGUCUGUACAUAGUGUGUAAAUAAACAGCAGAUUCAUUGCUGUCAACGUUUCCCUUCUUUUAAGGAAAAUCCCCUUAUUCCGAAUAGGAUUCCUCGCAAUAAAAGGGAAAAGUUGACAACUAUGAGUAAGAUUAGAUCUACGAUGUCUCGCUCCUCUUGCUGUGUUACGCCAGAAGAGUAAAUGUGCAUAUACCAGUUGGUAUGUGUCGCUGGAGCAUUUUUAACUGCUCAAUAAUUUUAAAAAUAUCUACUAUGAAGUAUACGAUAAAAGCUGAAAGAGCUUAAUAAGGGGAAACAGAAGCCAAACCCAUUGGGAACAGCACGACAAAAGAGUUCAACAUCUUUAGAAAAUUCCAGUGCGGCAGUGCCAUCUUAAGUGUGGGGUAGAUGAUGAUGAUGAUGAUGAUGAUGAUAAUAAUAAUUAUUAUUAUUUAUUAUUUAUACCCCGCCCUCUGGGCGGCUUCCAACAAAACACUAAAAUACAGUAACCUAUUAAACAUUAAAAGCUUCCCUAAACAGGGCUGCCUUCAGAUGUCUUCUAAAAGUUUGGUAGUUAUUUUUCUCUUUGACAUUGGGUCAGAGGGCGUUCCACAGGGCAGGUGCCACUACCGAAAAGCUCCUCUGCCUGGUUCCCUGUAACUUGGCUUCUCGCAGCGAGGGAACUGCCAGAAGGCCCUCGGCGCUGGACCUCAGAGUCCGGGCAAAACGAUGCAGGUGGAGACGCUCCUUCAGGUAUACUGAACCGAGGCCGUUUAGGGCUUUAAAGGCCAGCACCAACACUUUGAAUUGUGCUCGGAAACGUACUGGGAGCCAGUGUAGGUCUUUCAAGACCGGUGUUAUGUGGUCUCGGCGGCCACUCCCAGUCACCAGUCUAGUUGCUGCAUUCUGGGUUAGUUGUAGUUUCCGGGUCACCUUCAAAGGUAGCCCCACAUAGAGCGCAUUACAGUAGCCCAAGCGAGAGAUAAGUAGAGCAUGCGCCACUCUGGCGAGAGAGUCUGCAGUCUGAAAACAGUCCUGAAAAGAGGUACCUUGGAAUUCAGUAGAUGUGUGUUCGUCUUCUCUUAACCCUGUGAUUAUCAAGAGGUAACCACUCCUGCGUUUGAAAACACAGGGAUGUUUAAGGAAAUGAAGUCUGCUAUUGGGGGUGGAUCAGAACUGCGUUCUAUUUUUGUGCCUUGUUUCCUUCAUUUAAAAUAUGCAUCUUUGCCUAGUCCACAAAAGAAAAACUACAUAAGGAAGAGCCAAGGCUUACACUAACUUAAGCGUUUUUCCUCACUCUUCCUCCCAGGGCCUCCAAGGCGGUGUAUAUAACAUGUGCAUGCACACAGGCACAGACCUGUCCUCACAGCAAACCUGUGAGUUAGGCCAGACUGAUAGAUGGUGACUGGCCACGUUCACCCAGUGGAGCUUCAUGGUGGAACAGCUGUUUGAAGUGAACCCAAGUCUAUGUCUAAUAUUAUCCACUGCACCACACUGGCGUAUAUUUGACUGCUUGAACGUUUUUUGCUGUUUCUCAAAUGUCAGUGUUUUCAAGCAUCUUGUGGUUGGGAGAAAUAAUGCCUCUUGCAAAUACACACACACACACAUAUAUAUAUAUUUAUGCACACACAUACAUAUAUAUAUAAUGUAUGUAUUUAUGUGUAUAUAUAUAUAUACACACACACACACACACACACACACACAUAUAUAUAUGUGUAUAUAUGUGUGUGUGUAUAUAUACACAUACACACACACACACAUAUAUAUGUAUAUAUGUGUAUAUAUAUAUAUAUAUAUACACACACACACACACACACACACACACACACAAGCACUUUGCUGCAAUGGGACUAGGAAGAGCCCCAGAGGUACAGGAAAAAAAUGAGUGAGUUCUGUGUGUGCAUUUGUGUGUACACACACAUAAUGUGAGAUGUCACAAAAAAAAUCAGACCCCUGCCUCCCACCAACCCUGCCAAAUUGAGGGAAUGAACACUGAAAUAUAACCUUUUAAAAGAAAACUGUCACGGAAGCUGUGCAACCCAAAAUAAAAAUACGACUGCCAAAUCAAUCGGGCCCAAUUAGUAAGCCUGACUAUACCAGCCACCCUGUUUUUACUUAACAUAUCACUCCCUUUAACAAGAGACCCUCCAAAAUAUAUGAGAGUGAGUGUCUUUAAUGCCUGAUCUCUCAUCAAUCAAAGAAGACCAACAACCACCUGUGUGCAGUAACACGCUGGCAUUUCCAUCUUUUUGUCCAAUCGCAAUGCCGACUAUUAAUUAUAUAUUGCAACUGAUAAUUAUUAUUUGCUGAUAUUUAUUUUUACUGUUUACUAUUAUAUCGUUAUGGAUUAUUGAAUAUUGCUUUAUUUGAUAUGAGUUGCUUAUUUUAUUUUACAAUUAUUGUGACGUUUUGGUAUUGGAUCGGAUUGUUAUUACGUGUGAUCAAAACAGACAGCAAUUUUGUUGUUUCUUCAGCUUGUAAACCGCCUUGUUUGUAGCGAUAUAGAAAGGUGGUAUACAAAUUAAAAGUGAAAUGAAACGAAAUUUAAUCUCAGAGAUCGAAUCAUAGAACUGGGAGGUUUCCUGAGGGUCAUCAUUCUAACCCCCCUGCAACACAAGAGUAUCAACACUCGUUCCCCACUCCAAUCUGAAAGCUUUGCCAAUGUGCUAGCAGUUUUAUUGCUGCACCAUGAGAGAACAUGGAAGAACUUGGUUCUCUUUGAGAUGUUCUGCUACGCUCAUUACAAGUGAUGGCUCUAAAUUGCCUUUGUAAGCAUAUGUGUAGAUCGUGAUGAAUAAUAUACAGACAGGCUCUAUAUAGCCAUUUCCUGGUUUGCAUCCUGAGUUCCUUGCUGUGAAUUAUGGUCUAAAAACACACACACACAAACACACACAUGGCUAGCGAUAAUCUGGCUCAUGUGAAGACAUCUCAGUUGUGAGCGGAUGUGGCCAAUCAGGAAGGACCCAUUUGAAUCGUCAGAGUCACAAUUAACACUUACUAAUGGCCUUCUAAUUAGCCCUGACCAGUUCUGAGCAAAGGCACAACAUAUUUCUGCAACUCUCCUAGCCUUCUGCCUUGUGUGCCCUGUAGAUACUCAUCUCUCUCUUCAGCUGAGGAAAAUGCCAGCUAGGGGUGGCUAUUCUUUUACUGGGAAUGGAGGGAAAAUGUCUUUUUUCAUUUUGCUGCAACUAAUCACAUUUCCAGUUUGUUAAGAAGAGACUGGCCGCUUCAAAUUGUAUUGGUGCUGACAUGCAAAAGAAUUUUAAAGUCUAAAGCUGAGGGUGAUAUUUAAUAUUUGUGCUGGGGUGACUGAAUAUCGAUUUAAUGUGUUUUUGCACUUUUUCAGACCAGAUCCCGUGCACGUACGUUAAAGCACAUUUUCUCCCCCCAAGAAUGCUGGUAACUGUAGUCUAUAUUACUCACAGAACUCCAAUUCCCAGCACCCUUAACAAACUACAAUUCCCAGGAUUCUUUGGGGGAGGAUAAAACAUGCUUUAAUUGUAAACAGAGUACGCAGUCCCUUGCCUCUCCAAAUUGCUUUCCAGGUAACGCACAGAGAUUUUUCUGAGCUUUGGGGCUCAAAAGAAAGCAAUUUAAAACAGCUGUUGUUGAGACUUCAUUCUGAAUCUGCUGGACAGAGCCAGACACAGGAUGGUGACAAGUUGGUGUCACCCCAACAUAAAUCCUGGCUGCACCCAUUGGUUUGGAAGUUGGGUGUGACUUGUGAGGGGCAGCCUUGUAGGCCAAAUUGGGACCCACCACUGCCACGAGACUAGCUUUAAAACAGCCUCAGCACCCUCAUAUUCCCAAAUCCGUUUUUGUUUCUUUUCUCUUUUUUCCCCAAAAUUUUUUAUUGAUUUUCCAAAAUUUUUAAACAGACAGACAAGCAUACAUCUUAACUGUACUUAAUCCAAUCUUAGUAACAUUGUUAAGUGUUAAAUCCCCCCUAGCUGAAUUUCAGUGUAUGUCAUUGUAACAGUUUUCCAAAACCAAUCUUCUCAUAAAAUUAACUAAUCACUUUACAUCUUUCUUUCUUUUCAUUUUAACUUUAAACAUAAUAUUCUCUAACAUCACCUAUUUAAAUCCUAGGCCUAUCUGGUAUUUGCAAGUUUUUUCCAAUUAAGUUAUCUUAGCAUAUUUAACUAAGUAGUCUUUGAAUUUCAUCCAUUCCUCCUGGUACUCCUCUUCCUUCUGGUCACGGACUCUUCCAGUCAGGUCAGCUAGCUCUGAAAAGUCCAUCAUCUUCAUCUGCCAUUCCUCCACUGUUGGAACUUCUUGUGUUCUCCAAUUCUUAGCUAAGAAAAUUCUUGCUGCGGUUGUGGCAUACAAAAACAAUCUAACAUCUUUCUUGGGCAGUUCCAGACCUGUUAUUCCAAGAAGAAAAGCCUCUGCUUUCUUAAUAAAUAUAUAUUUCAACAUUUUUUUUCAAUUCAUUAUAAAUCUUCUCCCAGAAGUCUUUCACCUUGGGGCAGGUCCACCACAUGUGAUAAAAGGUACCCUUUUUUUCUUUACAUUUCCAGCAUAGAUCAUCACUAAUGUGAUAUAUAUUUGCUAAUUUUACUGGGGUUAAGUACCAUCUAUACAUCAUUUUCAUAUUUUCCUUUAACACCGUACAUGCAGUGAACUUAACCCCUUUCCUCCACAACCUUUCCCAGUCUUCAAAUCCGUUUUUUUUUUUCAAACUGCUUUACUUAAUUCUGCCUUGGCAGGUUUUCCCAGACCAGGUUCUACCUUGGCAGAAGGGUGUGACCUGCGUUCCAAGGACAGCGAAGACUGCACUGCCCAUCAAAGCCCAUUAAGCAAGCCCCAUUAACUGUCAGGCUAUACAUACAAAAGCCAAGAGCUGAGCAAUAAGAAUCCUGGCGCAGACUCUGGUCUCCCAUGUGCUCCACCAUUUGCUUUCAGGUGACCACUGCAUACAGGUAAAAAAAAAGGAGUCCUAAACCUUGGAUAAGGUCACACCAUGGGCACGUUUCGGAGGCAGCGCUGGGAAUCCAACCGGCUCCCCGCCCUGGUGCCAUGUUCAGGCCCACUAGGCAAUAUCACUUUCUUUGUUAUGUGCCUAUUGCAAUUAUGUGCAGCUGACCUUUCUGCAGUGGGGGAAACAAGCCUAUAAAUAUUGCACACAGACCAAUAAGACUAGAAUGAAGCAAUUAGGGAAAACAGCACAUCUCACAUAUGUUGUCGUGUGGCAGGGCCAGCGCUUAUUAGCAUAAUAACAGCAUGCUCAGCUAGCAGCAGAAUUAAAAGGAAGGGAGAAGUGUUAAGAUGGGCUGGCCAGCCAGACAACAGUUGGCUUUGGUAAUUAGCAAAACCACAGCCACUUUCGGAGCUCUCUUUUGGGUCCUCUGGGGAAUUCCAGGCUCUGGGCCAGUGUUUCUGGAAUGUAUACUAGCAGCAGGUGAAUGCUAAUAUGCAAAGGGCGAUUGCUAAUAAUGCAGAACCAAACGCCUCUCGUACAAGAAAGAGCUGCUCUAAGAGAGAUGUUCCCUGUCUGGGAAAUCACAUAGGAACAGGGCCAGGUGUGAGCGUGCCAGUUCUUAUCUCUUGGAGCCACCACAAAUCUUUCGGGUUCCAAAGCUCUUUAGAAAAAAACAACCCUUACCUUGUUAUUUGAUAUGGGGUAUAUUCCAGUUAGUUUCAUUCCAACCACAAUUUCAUCCCCCUUCCCCUAAUGGACUUUCCCAAGGAAAGCUUGUUGGCUGCUAAGAUAGGCUUGAACAAAACUAGCCGUUAACUUCAGCCAGCAACUGUGCCUGUCUCUAACGGAUUGAAAAAGGAUAUUUUGAAAUUGAGAUAAGCAACAACAGCGAAAGGAUAAGGGGAGCGGGGGAGCUUAAACGGAGAUCAGUCAUUUAGAGAUCGGCUACAAGUUAAUUAAGAAAAUAAACCAAAAAGGGGGGGGUAGGUCCAGGUUAACUCUUAACCAAUAAGCAACAUGGAUCUUUUUUGUUCUCAGCAUAGGUAAAGGGAGCCGGCUUACAGCUUCCAGGUCAUGUGGUCAGCAUGACUAAGCCACUUCUGGCGAUCCAGAGCAGCGCACAGAAAUGCCGUUUACCUUCCCGCCGGAGUGGUACCUAUUUAUCUACUUGCACUGGUGUGCUUUCAAACUGCUAGGUUGGCAGGAGCUGGGACUGAGCAACGGGAGCUCAUCCCAUUGCGGGGAUUCGAACCGCCGACCUUCCGAUAGGCAAGCCCUAGGCUCUGCAGUUUAACCCACAGCGCCACCCAUUGCCAAUGAAUCUAGAUGUGUUUUCAAUAUUUGCUGUAAUGAAAAACAAAUAAACAAAUGUAUGCUGAGAACAGGGGCAUAGGUUCCAGGGCAGCUUACAACAAUUAAAGCGCAACAUUCGUGCCAAAUAUUGCGCAACAUUAAUAACAGUUUAAAACAACAGAAAAAAACACAGAAAAAUGUAUGUAUGUAUUUAAUGUACCAUCUGGUUUCCUCUGCCAAUCUCAGUUGGGUGCUUUUCCACUGUUCACAGCCUGGGGUGUGGGUGUGUUUUACCAGAAUUCCGACAAAUUUUGAUGGUGCUGAUUCUCAUGAGAGCCAGUGUGGUGUAGUGGUUAAGAGCGGUAGUCUUGUAAUCUGGUGAACCGGGUUCGCGUCUCCGCUCCUCCACAUGCAGCUGCUGGGUGACCUUGGGCCAGUCACACUUCUCUGAAGUCUCUCAGCCCCACUCACCUCACAGAGUGUUUGUUGUGGGGGAGGAAGGGAAAGGAGAAUGUUAGCUGCUUUGAGACUCCUGAAGGGAGGUGAAAGGCGGGAUAUCAAGUCCAAAACUCUUCUUCUUCUUCUUCAUGGAAAUGUAGGAAAAUGCCAUAUGUCAAGCCAGACCACUGGUCCACCUAGCUCACAAAGACCAACACUGACUGGCAGCAUUUCAGACAGGGAUUUCAGACAGGGAUCUCACCCAGUCCUGUCUGGAGCUGCUGUGGCCCAGGGAAUCUUCUGCAACCAAAGCAGGGCCUGUGCCACGGAGCUACAGCUGGAGCUCAUCCACACUGGUUGUCUGCCCCACACUUUCUAGGCACAGAGACUGUGCAUUCCCAGUCCAUUUCUGAGCGCUUUCUCUCUUCUUUUUUUGCCCUGCCUAUUUCCCCAGAAAAAAACUGCUCUUUAACACUGAAUCAGAACAAAUGGCAAUUUGGGUUUUCUGCACAUUGCUGAGAGCAUUAAAGAGUGGAUUUCCACGGGGAAAGCAGCAAGGGGAAAACAUUCAGACACGGACCGGGAAGGUGCAGAGCUGUGCUUUAAAAGCGCAGAAGCAUGCAUAGGAUUGUAGCGAUUAUUUCUAAUUACACUAAGGACGGUGGAAGCGGAAAGCAAGGAUCAAGGGACUGUAAGGCAAAUAGGGAGCACAAAUUAUGCAUACAGUGGUACCUCAGGUUAAGUACUUAAUUCAUUCCGGAGGUCCAUACUUAACCUGAAACUGUUCUUAACCUGAAGCACCACUUUAGCUAAUGGGGCCUCCUGCUGCUGCCGCGCCACCAGAGCACAAUUUCUGUUCUUAUCCUGAAGCAAAGUUCUUAACCUGAAGCACUAUUUCUGGGUUAGCGGAGUGUGUAACCUGAAGCGUAUGUAACCUUAAGCAUAAUGUAACCCGAGGUACCACUGUAAUGCCUUUUGAUCACUCAAAGUCUCUGCCCAACUUCUUCCCCAAAAUCAUUUCCCCAGCUUCCAUAGGCACAGCUUUUUUGGUUCAACAAUGAGGACUAGAACUUUUUUUAUUUUAAUGGAGAAACCAUUUCCAGAAGAGUAAUCAGAAAAUUUCCUCAGCAGAUAAUUCAAACCCGGUCUGGAACGUGAGAUGAUGGCCGCGUCAUCCGCAUAUAACAAGGGGGUCCUUCUCAUUCCUAUUUUUGGAAGGUGUCCAUCUGGGUCCAUAAAGCUCUCUUCUAGGUCAUUUAAGAAUAGACAAAACAAUGUGGGGGCCAAAAUACAACCCUGUCUCACCCCCCUAAUCAUCUCGAUACUGUUCGAUAACUGUCCCUGCCGACCGCAUUGGACCUGCAGUUUGGUUCUGCUGGGAAGUUUUUGCCUCUGCACAUGAGUCUGAGAAUGUACAGUUCACAUUGAGUUCAUGAAACAUCACACCCUGACCUGUUCUUAAUGCAUUGUUGACCACAUCUACGGACUGCGAUUGUUAUGUUCUUUCAAGUCAUGCAAUAUCAAUCACUAGUAACCAUGUCUUCCCUUUCCCAACCCUUAUGAUUAAUGCCCUUGCAUUGUAUUUGUGUUAACCAAUCAGCAACAAGCACAUAUGUGGUAAUGCUGUAAUAUUCAAUAAAAGGGACUCUCCGAGACAUGCUCGAGAGAUGCCUCCCAUAUGACACCUUGCCAUUCGUCUGUCGCUUAUUUCAACCCAACAUGGUUCCAUUGUACAGGGCUUUUAUAAGAAAGAGGAGUCAUUUGUCCUGCAAAAUCAGAUUUAAUGUGGACCAUAGCUGGGAUCUGGGGAUGGAGUCAAAUGCUGAUUUCAGAUCCAUGAAGGCCACGAAAAGUUUACCCUGUAGAGGCCUGGUAUACUUCUUGGCUAGGAAGGACAGCAAUGAGGACUAGAACAUUUUUUAUUUUAAUGGAAGCUGAUAAUCUCUUUAUAAGCCGGAAAGCAUAUUCAGAAGAAACAAGAAAAGUCCUUGUAGCCAAGCUUCUGGAAACAAGAAGCCUUCCUGUUUCUUCAGAGGUGUUUUCUCAUCCUUUCUCCCCACCCGCCCUGCCAUUUCUGUCCCUUUGCCAGUUCUUGGAUCCGCUGUCUAGACAGUCUUAUCUAGGAUUGGAGACUUCCCCUCUUCCCAUACUGCUGCGUGUUGUAAAGAGUUUUGCAGCCACUGUUAGCAUUCAGGGCCAGACCUGCCAAACAUUCCCUCGCCUCUGCCUGCUAAACUUAAAGGAGACUGAACUACAAACAGCCUUUUGCAGAGCAAGCAGACUGAGGACUUCAAGGCUGAGCUGGGAUCGCCGUGCCUUGGGCCCGUGUCAUCCGUUUAUGUUCAGCGCCGCUUGUCACUGGGCAUAAUAAUUCCGCUGCAUCCGUUGCUUACAAGACUCUAGCUUAGAAGACGGGAAAGAAAGGAGGAAGCAUGCUCCUCUCCCACACAGGCCUGGAAAAGUAAACAGACGCAUGAACAGACCGACCGGCAGGCAUGUCUGAAGGACAGUCCGCAAGAAUGAUAACCGCCUCUCUGCACAUCCAUAUUUCAGCAAGGGAGACAGAGGAGCUGGCGAGCGCAAGAAGUCUCCUCACGUGGUCAUCAUUUGAUAAGGCCCCAUACGGCCAGCCGGGAGGAUAAUUCAGAGGGAUUAACUGCUCUGCUUUCUCUGACCCUUUGGCAAAGCAGCGCAGGAGCCACCGGAGGCGGGAAUUUGCUUGUGUGAACAGCUCCUGCAAUUAAUCAGGCACCCAGGGAUCAGAUUGAAGAGGAGGCCACUUGCAUUCCAGUCCUUGCAUGUCGGCCUCCUUGUCACCAUCCCGCCUGACGAAUGUUCAUCCGGAGGAUCAUCACUGGCCAUCGCAGGAAGCAAUGACAUCAAGUCGUUUGUUCCUAGCAAUGGCAGCCAGCCAUUCUCCCCUCACAGUCCUGUUCUGCCAGCCCCUCGGAUGGUGCAAUGUUCUGUGAUCCAGAAAACGUUUCUGAGGCUCAGACUAGUGGCAGUAAGGCGUGUGCACCCCUGCAUCUGCCACCUGAGGUGGCUGCUACCUUCCGUCUAAUGGUAGGGAUGGUCCUACUGAUCAGAGGGCAGUUUUAGUGACUGUGCUCCCACACCCUCCAACAUUUCUCCGAUGAAAAUAGGGACGUCCUUUUCAAUGCUAUAAGAUGUAAAGGUAAAGGGACCCCUGACCAUUAGGUCCAGUCGUGACCGACUCUGGGUUUGCGACACUCAUCUCGCUUUAUUGGCCGAGGGAGCCAGCGUACAGCUUCUGGGUCAUGUGGCCAGCAGGACUAAGCCGCUUGCGGUGAACCAGAGCAGCACACAGAAACGCCGUUUACCUUCCCGCCGGAGCGGUACCUAUUUAUCUACUUGCACUUCGAUGUGCUUUCAAACUGCUAGGUUGGCAGGAGCUGGGACCCAGGAACGGGCGCUCACCCUGUCGCGGGGAUUCGAACUGACAACCUUCCAAUUGGCAAGUCCUUGGCUCUGUGGUUUAACCCACAGCGCCACCCGUGUCCCUUUCCAAUGCUAUACUGUGGUACCUCAGGUUACAUACGCUUCAGGUUACAUACGCUUCAGGUUACAGACUCCGCUAACCCAGAAAUAGUACCUCAGAUUAAGAACUUUGCUUCAGGAUGAGAACAGAAAUCGUGCUCCGGCGGUGCAGCAGCAGCAGGAGGCCCCAUUAGCUAAAGUAGUGCUUCAGGUUAAGAACAGUUUCAGGUUAAGUAUGGACCUCCGGAACGAAUUAAGUACUUAACCCGAGGUACCACUGUACUACUAAUAAUAAUAUUUAUACCCCACCCAUCUGACUGGGUUGCCACUCUGGGCAGAAACAUAAAUUAAUCAUCUUGGACCUGUAUCCGCCUAACCAAGGAGGACAACCGAGCUUACGCACAAAGUAGGACAUCCUCUCUGCUUCCUCUGAAAUUGUGUGGCACAAAUCAGGCCCUGCUUUGGAUUCCAUCAAUGUUGGAAGUUAAAAUUGUAUCGGACAGAAACAGGGCCUUUACAGUGUAGGCCUCAAACCUGUAGAAUGGUCUUCCCCUUGAGGUCCAAAGUUGCACUUCCUUAUUUGACUUUAGAAAUACUGCAAGAGUUGUUGUUGUUGUUUAUUAAAUUUGUAUACUUCAUCUAAAGUUCACAGGACAGUUCGCAACAUAAAAAUACAAAAUGGAAACACAAAAUGCAUAAUAAAACAAAAGCAAAGCAAACCAAUUACGCUCCCUACCACCCACAAACCAUUUGAAAGUCCAUAGACUGUUAAUCGCCAAAGGCCUGGUUACAGAGGAAAGGUUUUGCCUGGAGCCUAAAGAUAUGUAAUGAAGGUGCCAAGUGAGCCUCUGUGAGGAGCCACCACAGAAAAGGCCCGUUCCCAUGCGUCUUGAAUUCAAGUACAGUGAGUUCUGGUGGUGGUGGUUGUUUAUAGACUACCCUUUAUCAAAAAAUCGCAGGGCAGUGUACAAUAUUACAAUCACAUUUUGAUGAUGAUAAAUUAAUGAUGUUAAUUUAAUAAUAAAUUCUUACGUACAGCCUAACACCCUCCUCAUUUUCCUUUAGGUUAGGGAAAAUGCUAUCAGAGCCUGAGGAAGCAAGGUUCCUCAUUGCAUGGAAGGAGUCUUCUACACGUAUGGGUUGUCUGGCAGGGGCUCUUUCAGAACUUACAAUGAAUAUGUGGCAUGUGGAUGCAUGCAAUAACAUUUCUCCUCCUCUACAUGUUUGUAUAAAGUCUGUAAAGGACUAUUGGGUACCCCUGUGGGAUAAAAGUGCAGAACACACCAAUCAAUCAGUCACAUUAUUUUGAUUUAAGCAAAGAAUGCUGUAGUGUAGCUUGGUAUACGGUAUUCUGGGUUUUUGUGUGGAAAGCCCAGUGGCAGCCUGUGCACUUUCAGAGAUUGGCUUAAUAUUGUCUAUGGGCAAAAGGGGGUUGUGUGUGUGUGUGUGUGUGUGUGUGUGUGCUUUUGCAUAUCAGAUUUCCUAAAAAGAGGAGUGGGGUUGGCAUUUAGAUGCCAAUGAUUUCUGGACAUAACAUGUCUGCAGAAGGAAUACCAAUCCCAACUGUCUGGAAUCGCUCCUGGGGGCAGAGGGGUGUUUUUUUGUUUUGUUUUGGAUGAGACACUGAUGAGUUGUGCUAUAUUUCAACUUCUCGCAAAAUGAUUUAUCACAUCUUAUCAAACUGUUGCACUGUUGCAAUGAAGGUAUAUUCCCAUUAUGAGUUGUCAGUAGCACUGUUGCUGCUUUCAAAGGGAAUUCAAUCACUAUUGUCAGGUUGCACAAUUGGAGUUGAUUUGUGCUCUUGCACAACAAACCCCAACCAAACAAAAAACAAAAAAAAACCCUGGAAUUUCUCUGAGUAAGGAAAGUGAAGGGACAAUGCUUCAGAUAGUGUGGGAUAACAUUUGCUUGGUGCAACCUCUCCAUGAACAAAUCAGAAUAAAUGUUCAAGAUAAACAAAGUUAUUGAAUCUUCCCACAAACCUUGUGCAAAUGAAUCAGGAUAGAUCUUCGAUAAGGAAGGCUUCUGAAAGUGACCCGUAUUAUUUAUUUCAUCUGCUUGGGUUUGUUCCAUUUAAUUAUCAGAAGCACCCUGUGAAGUUUUUUCCAAUUAAGUUAUCUUAACAUAUUUAGCUAAAUAGUCUUUAAAUUUUAUCCAUUCUUCCUGGUGCUCCUCCUCCUUCUGGUGGCGGACUUUUCCAUUCAGGUCGGCUAGCUCUGAAAAGUCCAUCAUCUUCAUCUGCCAGUCUUCCACUGUUGGUACUUCUUGUGUUUUCCAAUCCUUUGCUAACAAAUUUCUAGCUGCAGUUGUGGAAAAGCUUGCAAAUACGAGAUAGGCUUAGGACUUAAAUAUGUAGGGAUAGGAAUUAAGAUGUUUAAAGCCAGAUUAGAAGGAAUGAAAGAUGUUAAGUUAUCAGGAUAAUUUUUCUUUGAGAAGAUAGAUUUUGGAAAACUGUUAAAAUGAUAUAUAAUGAAAUUCAACCAGGGGGAUUUGAGGAAGUCACUUAACAAUGUUGCCAAGAUUGGUUUAAUUUCAAAUAGGAUGUAUGUUUGUUUGUUAGACAAAAUUUUGGAAAAUUAAUUGAAAAAAUUGGAAAAAAGAAAGAAGCACCCUAUGAACUAUCUGAAUCAAGGUCACCCCGUGAGUUUCAUGGUUGAAGGGGUGGGGGAUUUCAACCAAAUCUCUCUCUGGGCAAAGUGUUACAUGUUAAGCAGUACCCGACCCUCAACCUCAAGUCUGGAAAUAUGUCUAGAGCCUUAACUACAGCUAUGUUUUGGCAUAAAUCUGAUCUGUACUCUAAAUAAGUUGAAAUAAAUGUUUAUUCUAAAUAGGAUAAUCAACCGUAACUUUAUAAAAGCUAAAGUACCCGACAUUAUACCAAGCAGAGCAAAGAUAACAGAAUGAGGCAAGGGCAGAAAUGUAAUUGAUGGUUUAACUUAAUUCAAUUACUGCAAAAUAUAGCCUUUAUUGUUUUUUGAAAAUCACAUUUUCCAGUAAUUCUGAUUCAGUUAAAUUUUUAUAGUAUUAUAAAUAAUUCUAAUUACGCUCAUAUAGGUUUAGCUUUCUUCUAUAUGGACAUUUAGGGAAAAAAUUAAAUUAAAUUAUCUACAUGUGCUUGAAAUGUAAUAUACAAGAUUAUCUGAAGAGCCAGAAGCAGCAAGCAAAUAUGAACAAAUUUUCUUAUGUCAUGUCUGAAAAAGCCUAGCGUGGGUUCAGGAACAGAGUUCACAUUUUCUGAAGAACCACUCUCUUUGCAGAUUAAAUGUUUAAUUAUACAGCCAAGUCUACAAAUAGAUUGUUAAUGUUGGAUGGGAGGAAUGGAAGGUCUAGAUACAGACGCACCAGCAGAUUAACAGAAGACCCUGCAAGAAAUUUAUCAAUGUCAAAGGUAAUUAAUUACAACUCUCCAUCGACCGAUAUAGUUCUGUUUAUCAGACAGGAUUCCUGGAAUGGUAAAUGCUUGCAGAGUAUUCAGUAAGGUUUUCUGUUCUUCCACUUGUUUGUCAUUUGUCUACUUCAAUAUUUGUCCUUGUGCACAUUGGGUUAGCUUGCUAAUAUAUUAAAGCCAAGCCAUAUUUGGACAGCCUGUAAACUCUGCCUGAGAUAAAGCAGAGUCUCUGAUAUCCAUGAGGAUUCAGGGAAAUAAUGCAAUAAAGCAGGAGCAGGGACCUGUGUGGUCCUCUGGGUGUUGCUGGACAAGAGCUCUCAUCAUCCCUGUCCAUGGUCCAUGAUGGGGUGAUGCUGAUGGGAGCUGGAACCCAACAUACCUGCCCUGGGAUCCUAAAGGGCAGAAGAGCGGGGUAAUAAAUUGUAUAAAUUAAGAAAGAAAGAGACAUCUGUAGGACCAAAAGUUCCCCACCCACCCCACUAUAAAUUGGUAGGAAAUGUCACAGGUCACUUCUGCCUCAGUGAGGGCACACCUGGAAUACUGUGUCCAGUUCUGGGCACCACUAUUUAAGAAGGAUAUUGACACUUGAAACGUGUGCAGAGGAGGGCAACCAAGGGUCUGGAAACCAAGCCUUGUGAGGAACGCUUGAUAGAGCUGGGACUGUUUAGCCUGGAUAAGAGGAGACUGAGAGGAGAUAGGAUAGCCAUUUUCAAAUAUCUGAAGGGCUGUCCCAUGGAAGAUGGAGCAAAAGAGUUUGGAUUUGGAUUUGAUAUCCCGCUUUAUCACUAGCCGAAGGAGUCUCAAAGCGGCUAACAAUCUCCUUUCCCUUCCUCCCCCACAACAAACACUCUGUGAGGUGAGUGGGGCUGAGAGACUUCAGAGAAGUGUGACUGGCCCAAGGUCACCCAGCAGCUGCAUGUGGAGGAGCGGAGACGCGAACCCGGUUCACCAGAUUACAAGUCUGUCGCUCUUAACCACUACACCACACUGGCUCUCAAACUUGUUUUCUCCUGCUCUGGAGGGUAGGAACGAACCAGUGGCUUCAAGUUACAAGGAAGGAGAUUCUGGUUAAACAUCAGGAAGAACUUUUUGGCAGUAAGAGCUGUUCAACAGUGAAACAGACUCCCAUGAGAGGAUGGCCAUCUGUCAAGGCUUCCUGCAUUGCAAGGCUUGGUCUAAAUAAUAAUAAUAAUAAUAAUAAUAAUAAUUUAUUAUUUGUACCCCGCCCAUCUGGCUGGGUUUCCACAAAACUGGGUGGCUUCCACAAAGACCAAAAAUACACUAAGCUGUCACACAUUAAAAACUUCCCCGAACAGGGCUGCCUUAAGAUGUCUUCUGAAUGUCAGGUAGUUGUUUAUCUCUUUGACAUCUGGUGGAAGGGCAUUCCACAGGGCGGGCGCCACCACCGAAAGGGCCCUCUGCCUGGUUCCCUGUAGCUUUGCUUCUCACAAUGAAGGAACCGCCAGAAGGCCCUCGACGCUGGACCUCAGUGUCCGGGCAGAACGAUGGGGAUGGAGAUGCUCCUUCAGAUGACCCUAAGGGGCCCUUCCAACGCUACAAUUCUCUGAUUCUGUGGUUCUGUGUCUCUUUCCAUAAGCAGUUAUAUUUUAUGCUUUAUGUUAAGUGAUCUUUCCUCCUCUCACCCUUUCUGGAAACAAGAGCAGAAAGAAUUUGAUUCUCCCAUUUCUAAGCCUUCGGUGCAUGGUUACGUCUGCUUCGGUGCAUGGUUACGUCUGCUUUCAUCGCCCUAGGUCAGGGGUCUGCAACCCACGGCUCCGGAGCCGCAUGUGGCUCUUUUACACCUUUGCCACGGCUCCGGGGCAGAUACUAGUGAGGGGAGGAGGCGCAUUGUGCGCCCCGACACUCCCCACUGUGGCGGGCGCUGUACUGGCUGUGACGUCGCAUGGGAGCGGUGCGUGCGUUAGUCACGCACCGUCCCGAUGUCACCUUCCCGCCCGCCCGCUACAUUGUAAGGGGCAUGUACGCUGGUCACUGUUUUGAAGGGGAGUGAAGAACACACACACACACAAAGGUAACUUGUUAAUUUAACGUUUAUUUCUAUGAGGAGGAGUAAUUCUGAGGGGUCAAACAAAGAAAUAAUUUUAAAAAGUGACAAAAAAGUUAUUUUUAUAACGACGAGUUUUGCGGCUCCCAGUUUUUUUUCUUCGGAAACGGGUCCAAGUGGCUCUUUUUGUCUUAAAGGUUGCAGACCCCUGCCGUAGGUACUGCAAAGCAGAGUUCAAAUUAAAUAUCUCCCCUAUUCAUUGGGUGUGUGCUACAAAUCGCUAUAGCGUGUUCUCCCUAAAAUGAGAGCACAGGUUGCGGUGGGGUCUGCCAGGCCAACCCUCUGUUACCAGGCAGGUUAAUGGUUAUUGCCUGAAGCAACGAUUGGCUGACCGGGUUGCUGGGGCAAAUUGCUUGUUGCAAAUUGUGGGUGGGACCAAAGGUUUUAAAUAUUGGGGGACUCCGCUUUUGCUUUCUCUUUCGCUGAGUGCAUCGGAUCACCCGCCCGCCCUGUGUUCUGGUUGACCUUGCUGUGCCUGCCAUGGGGUCAUCUGCCAUUGGGGCAGGGCUUAGUAGGAAUUUUAUCCAUUUGGCUGAUUGGCUGGUGCCACUUGGUUUUUGCCUACUACUUAGCAAUUUGUCACAACUUGUAAGGUUGUGGUUAGGCAUUGGUUAUAAAAAUUGGUGGAGGAGGGGUCAGGAUAGGCUGUGCGUGCCCCUCCAAUGGUGCUGGAAGGGAAUUCCAUUAAAGGAAUCCUGGGGCUUGCCACGAUUUCGUCCAAUCCCUGAAAUGGGACCAGGGCCGGCAAGCCUUGGGGAGCUGGUUGGAUGAGCGGUAAGGGACUGACGCUCAGCUCAACUGAUCCCCAACAUUGUUUUCCCUUCACUGGCUUCCUAGGGAGUUUGGAUAGUCAGUUCUGUCCCAGGCGGGAGGACAGAUAGUCUAAGCAACCUAAUGCCUAAGCAACCACUCACAGAUUAUGUAUUUUAAUAAAGUUGUGGCCAAAAUAGUGCCAAAAACCUUAAACUAAAAUUACGUGUGAUUUGUGAAUUAUUUGAGGGGUGGCUUGGGGACCUCCACACGCAACUAGUGCAACGGCAGAAGCUGCACACAAAGAGGUCCCACCAGUCUGCUGGAGGCAUUGCUGAAAAUGACAGAAUUUUGGCUGGGAAAGGUACAGGCAGCCUGAUCAAUUGCCCUGGCAGUUCUCAACAUUUAUUUUUACUCUGCCCUCUGUGCAGAGUACAGCGGUGGCCCAAUUCCUUGAAUGAAACUUGAGUCUACAGCAUUCUGAGCCAAGGUAUGGGUGUUAUGGCUGAGCCAUUAGGAUACCUAAGAUACACUUCCAAGCAGCCUCAAACUGCACCUCUAUGACCUCUCUCCUCCCUGGACAUUGGCGGUGGUAGUUCAGUGGCUGAGCCUUAGCUAUGCCAACUAUCUACACUGCAUCAUAAUCUGGGACUAUUUUUAAAGGCCCUCUCCUGGAAAUGCAGAAUCAGAACGCAUAAGCAGCAGUUCCUAUUUCAGUUCAGCACAAAUCCAAUGCAGCCUGAAGGAGCUCCAGUUUUCUGCAUUGAAAUAAACAUCUGGUUCUGUUCUAACAGCAGUCCUUCUACUUUGAGCAAGGUCAAGGAGACAUAGUGGGAGCAAGGUGGGAGCAGUAACUUAUCCCCAUCCCAAAUUAGGCUAGUCUAAACAGGAUUAUAGAAUGCAGCUGAUAUUUGCAGGAAUGAGCAAUAUCACCAUCAGGACAAGUAAGAGGUAUAAUCUUGACAAGCUCUGCAAAAUGCAAAGAUAAAAAAAAAAAUUAAGGGGAAAAACAGAUGUAGACGGAUGGGAAUCUAGCGCAACUGCACCCCUUGAGUUUUCAGUAGUCCAGCCCAAGGCCAUAAGUUAAGUCUGAUACCUAUUGUAAAAUUCGAAUAACAAUUUCCCGCAUAUGACGAUAGGUAGAAGGCUGUAAAAGUUACUAAAUUUGGCUUGCUCCUACAAGAUCCCAUGCAGGUUUUUUCAAAAGUACCACUGAGCUCAAUAUCACUCACUCCCAUAGGAUUGCAACCAGUUCAUAGGAUUGCUAUGUGAAGCAUAUUCACUAAUGUUCAAACUGUGGGUAGGGGAAGUGGAGUGCGUCCAAGUUCCACUCACGCCGUGUUCCCUGCGCACAUCAGCCCCACCCACUCAGUCUCCAAACUUCUACAGAUGAGUUGCUUCAAAGAAUGGCAGAAGGACAUUUCAAGAUUUAUCUGGCGAGGAAAGAAGCCAAGGAUAAAAUAUAAAUUAUUAACAGAUCUUAAAGAAAGAGGGAGCUUCUCCCUACCAGAUUUAAAAUUAUGGGGGGCUGGAUUAUAUUUUGGGGGGGAAUGAACAAUUUCCUAUGCUCCACAAAUAACCCAGAGAUGCAUUUUAAAUAAAAGGACGCAUUCUACUCAUGUAAAAACACUCUGAUUCCCGGACCGUCCGCGGGACGGAUUUAGAAGGUGAUUGGGCUGGAUCCAGCCCCCGGACCUUAGUUUGCCUACCCCUGAGCUAGAGCAGGCUCCCUCAACCUCGGCCCUCCAGAUGUUUUGAGACUACAACUCCCAUCAUCCCUGACCACUGGUCCUGCUAGCUAGGGAUCAUGGGAGUUGUGGGCCAGAAACAUCUGGAGGGCCCAGGUUGAGGAAGCCUGAGCUAGAGCAUACAGAGCCAAAAUAUGGCAUCUCUGUGGUGAGUGAUUCCCCCUCCCAGGAGUAAAGUUUGCAUCACCUCAAGCAUCCAUUAUCCUAUGGUGAAUCUCCAGUGCCCCCGUUCUGCAUUCCUGGCAACUAGAAGGAGAGCAGUAUGGAGACUCACAUUAUAAUGAGGACCAGUCACAUGCUGAGUACUUUAAAACGUUUCCUACAGAGAAGGGGUAACUCACCAUGAGGACCACAUUUUCGGCAGCAUCCGCAACAUGUGCUCCAACUCCAGCUGAACACUAUACGUCCCUCAGCUUCAUUUGUUAGCUCGUAUAUUAUUGCCGAGUCCAGUCAAUUUCAGGCAAGUACUGGAUUACUUAUAACUUUAAAAAAAAAGCUAUUCUCCAGACUCUUUUUGUCAGACUUCCAUGUGAGGCAAGCAUUUGAUAGAAAUAUGGAAAGUGGCCUGAACUUUAAAUGACAAACAGAUGAGAAGUUCUGAUGGAAAUCAAACACUUCUGAAGCCCACGUUAUUUUCACAUAGAAUAUAAAUAGCUCUUUUAAUUGAAGAUGACGAGCUCAUGGUCACAUAUUUGGUUAUCUCUAUUCGCAAAGUUGCAAAGAAAAAAUAAAUACAAGAACUGAAUCAUGACAAGAACUAAAAAUACAUAUUAAAAUCUGGUUGUCGGAUCCCUUAGGUUAUGAACUUCUGGAAACAAGUGAAACAAACUCACAUUUUGUUAUGAACUACAAUUCAGAAAAUUUGUAAGUGAGCAAAUAUACUGAGGAUUCCUGACAGAUAGCAUUCUUUCUACUCCCAUUUUAUUUUUGGCCCAUUUGAUUUGAUUAGAAACUUGCUCACAUUUCUGCUUUAAAAUGUACAGAUACAAGUGAUAAUGCUGUAAGCUGGAAACAUAAAGGCCACACAUUUUUUACUGAUUUGUAAGAGAGCAAAUUCUUUAGAAUUGGUUUUCAAGACGGUAUGAACUUGGCAAAAGACAUUUUGGCAUAUAAUUUCAAGAGAAAAUGCUUAACUCCAACUCCCUUAAUAGCAUGUGCACAAAUGCCAAAGUAACAAGGAAAUUUUAUGUGGAUGUGGUUGUACACACACACACACACACACACACACACACACACCAGGAAAAGCUUUUAUUCUGAACUUAUUACGUCUCCUGUACUGAAAUAUACACGUGCUGCAUUCAGCUCAGAGAACCAGUUAGAUUAAAUAAGGAAGGAAAAGCAAGAAAUAUCUCCUCUGUGGCUUUUGCCACUUGCUUGAAGAUGAUACUCUACUGCAGACGAGAAGAGUAUUUGCACCUAUUAAUAUUCUAGAAUAAUACUACUACUAUUCUACAGUAUGAACUGAGGCUUUAAUUCAGGGGCAGCCAAUGUGGUACCAUCCAUCAGCCUCAUUCAUUAUUGCCAAAGGUCAGGGAUCACGAGAGCUGUGGUCCAAUAAUGUUGUUGGCUACCCUUACUUUAGUGUGAGAGACUACUGUAAGAGAUUACCUGGACCCCAAGAAAUCCAGAAAUAGCUCAAGAAUACGUUAGCAGAAAACUAACCCCCGCACCCCAACCAUAGCCUAAAACGAGAACACCUGAGGAAAUAACCAUUUUAGGGAACAUUUCCAAUGAAGAAUCGAUGUGUGCAGGAGCAGCAAAGCACAUUUCCCUCUGCUGUCCACCAGUUCUUCCCAGGAAGCGUCAAAUACUAGGUACGUGCAGCUGUUCUGUGCUGCUACUGAAUAAGGAGUUUAAUUGGAGUGGUUUGACCUCUCCAUGAGCCAUCAAGGCCUCCACAAAGCCAUUCAUCAAAAUGGAAGCAAGAUUUGGGGGACGUCUGACUUGGGUGUUUCCUUGUGUAGGUAGCAUUCCUCGGGCGACAUCACGUGUGUCUUUCCUCUUGGAGCAAGGUAAGAAUGUUCACAAGAUUGGGGGGGCAGGUGAGCGGCAAAAUGAGUUGGUUGUUAUUGUUGUUGUUUGAAUUUUACAGUACGGUGCGGAACCUGUGGCCAGACUGCAACUCCCACAAUCCCUGACCACUGACAAGGUUGGCUGCAGCUGAUGAAGCCCAACAUCUGGAGAGAUCUGGCAGUCUUGGUCCUGGCUGAGCUAAAGUCCUGGCUACAUGCAGCCAAUUCACAGUAUACACAUGUAUGUAAUAAACUACAGGAUGCCUUCAGAGUAUGGGAUUUUCCAGUAACCACAAGCACACACAUCAGUAUAUCAGGAAACCAUAGCAGUCAUUUCCUGUGAACUCAAAAGAAGUGAAAUUGGGCUACUUCCCCCUUUAAAACACUUUGCAGAAAAUCUGCCGAAAAGUUAUACCGUUUCCCCCUUCCUCAAAGAAUGCGCAUUAUAUUUUCCCAUGUUCAACAACAGUGGUGAAUAAUCAUACGGCAACAAUAGAAUUGCUCCUCUAAACCGCAGCCCCACCGGGGAAUAUAAAUGCCAGGCUUGUUAUUUAUGUAAUUAAUGUCUCACUGAAGUGGAUCAUUCAUUGUUGGGGUUUUUUUCUCCCUCUGCAAUUUGAAGGCUAGAAGAUAGAAUAUCAAAACACCAAAGCUUGACAUUUUGAAGUUAUUUUUCUCAUUAGCCUGUACACUUCAGGAUAUAGUUUAGCUCCCCUGGAGAUUUAUCAUCUUUUGUAUGACAAUCAGAGGCUUUGAAAGGUGUAUAAGUAUUGGUUUUGAAAAUGCAUAUGGUUUCAGAACAAAGAGAACUGGAUUGAUCAAACAGCGAGGGCAACCUAAAGGAGUAAAGUACACAAAAUAAUCUCCAAGGAGUGGGCAGUUUCAUAAAACAAAGCAUCUCAAUGUGGAUGCCAUAUUGUCAAUUAGACCUAGCAAUUUUCAGAGGUAAUGGGAAGUGGAAUACAAUAUGUACAAUCUGAUAUAUGAACACAAUGGCAAAAGAAUCAAUACCAUAUGCUGUGGACAAAUUCGGAGCUUCUUUUCAGCAGUAUUAGAUUGUACAGGAAACUAGGAAUGAGCCAACUGUAUGGUACUUUGGCCUUUUCCAUUAUUUCUUUUGUGGGACAGUCUGGAAAAGGCGAUCCUCUCUUUUAGCCACUAGAUUGGAUGAGACCUGAUUCGGAGGUACAGAGGAAGCAGAGGUAGGCACAUGGUCACCCGAGAACCGUGUGAUGUGGAUCCCCAAGGUAGAAUAGACCUGUCUCCUCAUACUUUACAUUGUACUUGUUUCUAGUUCUGCAACAGUAAAACUGCUAGCACAUUUGCAAAGCUAAGUAUGGUUUGAAACCAAGUCAGAAUCAAGAUUGCUGGAAGAAAUAUCAACAACCUCAGAUAUGCAGAUGAAAAAACCUUGAUGGCAGAAAGUGAGGAGGAAUUAAAGAACCUUUUAACGAGGGUGAAAGAGGAGAACGCAAAAUAUGGUCUGAAGCUCAAUAUCAAAAAAACGAAGAUCAUGGCCACUGGGCCCAUCACCUCCUGGCAAAUUGAAGGGGAAGAAAUGGAGGCAAUGAGAGAUUUUACUUCCUUGGGCUUCCUGAUCACUGCAGAUGGUGACAGCAGUCACGAAAUUAAAAGACGUCUGCUUCUUGGGAGAAAAGCAAUGACAAACCUAGGCAGCAUCUUAAAAAGCAGAGACAUCACCUUGCCAACAAAGGUCCGUAUAGUUAAAGCUAUGGUUUUCCCAGUAGUGAUGUAUGGAAGUGAGAGCUGGACCAUAAAGAAGGCUGAUCGCCAAAUAAUUGAUGCUUUUGAAUUCUGGUGCUGGAGGAGACUCUUGAGAGUCCCAUGGACUGCAAUAAUAUCAAACCUAUCCAUUCUGAAGGCAAUCAGCCCGGAGUGCUCACUGGAAGGACAGAUCCUGAAGCUGAGGCUCCAAUACUUUGGCCACCUCAUGAGAAGAGAAGACUCCCUGGAAAAGACCCUGAUGUUGGGAAAGAUGGAGGGCACAAGGAGAAGGGGACGACAGAGGACGAGAUGGUUGGACAGUGUUCUCGAAGCUACCAGCAUGAGUUUGACCAAACUGUGGGAGGCAGUGGAAGACAGGAGUGCCUGGCGUGCUCUGGUCCAUGGGGUCACGAAGAGUCGGACACAACUAAAUGACUAAACAACAACAACAUGGUUUGAAACCACUCAGUUUGAAACUGGUCUGCUUUCAAAUUGGAUGGGGGACCGUGUGUUGAGAUUCCUGCUUUGCAGGAGGUUGGAAUGGAUUCUAACUAACGUGCUUAGAACUGGCCAUGUCUGUUUCAUUAGAAGAAAACAGCUCCAUGGGGAGCCUGAUUCCAACGGGAAUUAUGGUGUGGGGAGGGGUUAACUCUCACAUGCCAUUUUACUGAAAAUGCUCCUCGUGAAAAUAUUACCCAUCAACAGGGGAGGGAAGCCUCAGGUCCAGGAGCUCCCUGUGACUUCCCUGGGUAGUUCAUCAAUCUCUUCCCAGGCCACACCCCUCCCUGGCUCUGCAUCAUCCCCCAGAGUUUUCCCUGGCAGGAAUGUGUCUUUGGCCUCUGAUCAUGUCUAGAUGGAGGAAAGAGAGGAUUAUGUGAGUGUGUGAAACUAGCCUACUGUAGAAAGGUAACAAGUGAGGGGAACUGUCCUUCCCAUCUUCCUACCCUUUUAAGUUGGCCAGUGUGGGAUUCCUGGACAAGAUGUAUCUGUGAUCUGAUCUGGCAGAGAGUCCACGAAAGAGACCAGAGUCUUCCACUGUGUGGUCUGUGUCUCACGAAGUUGGUCAUUGAGUGGGGAGAGAGGGAGAGGGAGAGAAGGGGGUGGGAGAGAGGGGGCCCAUGUAACAGUGGGUAGUCAUUUGAGUCACAUGUAACGAUGCUGAGAGACUACAUCUUCAACAUUUCUAGAUCUGGACAUUCCCAGUCUGGUUUUUACCAAACCUUCUUUCAUGAACCAGAGUUUGACCACAUCAUAGACCCAAAGGAAAUCUGCCUGUGCUACUAAGAGACCUACUAAGGUGACUUCUGGUUGAGAUUGAUGGCUUUUGACUGUGACAGGAAACAUCAAGCAUACACCAAGGGUUCCCACAGCAGACACAUGCAGUGUGGGUGUCAAAUGUGUGUGCAUUUAUCUUAAAAAACCCACGUCUAGGCAUUUGGGAACAUUGGCGUUUCCGGGUACAUGGAUAUACAAGCAUAUGCACGAGGUCCACACAAAGGAGGAUUAGACAUUCAGGGUGGCUGUUAGUCAUAAUGGCUAUGUUUUCCUCCAGUACAGUGGUACCUUGGUUCUCAAACGCCUUGGUUCUCAAAUGCCGAAAACCUGGAAGUAAGUGUUCCGGUUUUCAAACAUUUUUUGGAAGCCGAACGUCCAAUGAGGUUGUUGGCUAUUGUUUCCGGGGCACCUGCACCAAACAGAAGCUGUGCCUUGGUUUUUGAACAUUUCGGAAGUCAAACGGACUUCCAGAAUGGAUUAAGUUUGGCACGUUUGUUUUUGCUAUUUAUUUUGCAUAUUUGUUUUUGAAGCUUUUUCAGUUAAUUUGUAUUUGUGACUGUGCGGAACCCAGCUCAGCUACUGGUUGACUGAUUGUGUGACUGCGGAAAUGGAUAAAAGCCCCCCAUCCAAACAAUGACUAUCAUUACUGCAGUUAAUUUUUAUCAUCUACAAUACUGUCUUAUUUAUUUUAUAGGACAGUAUAUUCAUUAUUGCUUUCAUUUUAUGGAUCAAUGGUCUCGUUAGAUAGUAAAAUUCAUGUUAAAUUGCUGUUUUAGGGGUUGUUUUUAAAAGUCUGGAAUGGAUUAAUCCAUUUUGCAUUGCUUUCUAUGAGAAAGCGUGCCUUGGUUUUGGAACGCUUUGGUUUUGGAACCAAAACAGUAGGCCUCCGAGUACCAAUUUCUAUGGACCCUGAGCAGCAAAGUGCUCUUGAGCUCAUUUCCUGCUUGCAGACUUCCUAUAGGCAUCGGUGUUCUUUAUUUUAUUUUCCUUGAGGCAGUCACAAUCUGCAGACCUGCCAUAUAUUUUUCAACUAAAAAUCAGAGCUCUGAAAGGAAAACAGAAUUUGGCUCUGCAGCUUGUUCCUCUUUCCAAGUGCUGAUGCCAUGGCAUUCUCCACAUCCUUCAGAUCUAGCCUAAGUGUGAGGCAGACCAGUCUCCUUAAUUGAGCCAAAUCUUUAUCUUUAAUUGAGCCCUUUAUUUUCUCAUUAAAACCACUUCAACAGCAUCCUGCUGGGAUUGCUAAUUAAACAAUUAAAUUAGUUGAACUGGGGAAAAUGUUGAUUCCAAAAUACUAUGCAGCAUCAAUUUCCUCUCAAAGAAUACUAUACUAUACUAUUUUUCUCCUCAUUCUUAGCUUUAGUUCACAUUGCGUCCAGGCCUCUGUGUUUCUGUGAGACAAGACAUAUAUUUUUAUUUCCUUAUUUUUUUCGUCAUCAUAUUGCUCUUCAAUCCCCUGUUCUGAGCAAAGCCCAGAAUAUAUAUUUUCCCUGCGUCGGGAAAAGCAGGACUUGCUUGCACAGAGCUGCGCAGAUCGCUUUUUAAGCUUGCCAGGCAGGGGUCCGUUUUCUCUGCCACAUGAGCUAACGAGCUCCUGAAAAGUUGGGAGCAGGUUUAGGUUUCUAAUGAUGUGUAAAUCUAGGGGAUGAAGGGACCGUGUCAUCAUGGAGGAGAUUUUUCCGUGCGGGGAAAAGUGCAUUCCGGGUUCUGUUUGCCUGCGACGCUUCCCCUGUACUCUGGCAAGGAGCUCAUGUGGACCUUGGCUCUCGCACAAACAGGCUUUCCGAGACCAAAUGACAUACAAAAAUAGCAGCUGCUCCUCAGAGCUGAUUGGCUCAUUUUAAAGCAGAUGGUCCUAAAAUGCUGAUGGAGCACUGCAUCUCAGCAGGCUAAAUCUGAAAGGCUUUUUAGAAAACAAUGAAAGGAGAGGUUGUACCUCAGGAUCCUUCUUCCAAUAUCCUGUGCCCAGCACCUAAUGAGGUGGUGUGUAACAGCAGCAAGGUUACACUGCUUAAGUAUUUUGCCUGCAGCAGUUUGUAAUAUCUUGUUAAGCAUGUCCGGAUAAAUUUUCUGUAUAUAAUGGACAGUGCAAAUCUUUUCUGUUGUGAUUCCACGACUGCCUUUGUUGUUUAAAAUUUAAAAGGAGUUUUACAUUUUCAAAACAAACAACCAUCCGCCGCUGGCUAUGCCUUACCAGGUUUUGUAUAUGAACGUAGCAUUAAAGUUGAUGUAACUAGCAGAAUCACUUUCAUGGCUCAUAAAAAUGUAGCCCAAGUCCUUUUCGCAACAAAAACAGGGUGCAUGGUGGCAUCAGUCUCAACAGCGCUUCCUUCUUUCUUGCUAACACCAACCAAACAUUUUUGUAGCAUUGAGCUUAAAUGAAAAAUAUAAGGUGAUUUGCUGGUUGUAUUGAUCCAUAUUGAGAGUCAGCUGUCACCAUUGAAGAAGUAGGGACUGGUAGAUUAUUCUACAGCACAUUAGUUUGAGCAAAUAUGCACUCAAUCUCUGAGAAUUUUUUUUAAAAAAUGAAGAGUUUCAUUGAAUAAAGUAAUUGGAGAGAUAUAAAGAUGGACCGAAGGUCAAUGCACACAGCCUGAAGCAUCAACAGCUGAUCACCUGAAGAGCAUUAGGCUACUGAACAUGUACAGCUUCAUUGUCCAAAGCAAUGGACCAUCUGUAGCCUUCCUCUAAUAUGGACAAAGAAAUAAGCUGUGUCAUAAUGCAAGCUUUGAAGAUCUGGGGAUAGUUUGCCACCACAGCCGUGACCUACCAGGAUAGCACCCUGGCCCUGCAGAACCAGCUGCUUCCACAUUCGUGGCCUUCAUUCCCUCACUGGCUUUAGAAUGGUUGAUAAAGAGUGCUGUUAUUUUAAUUCAUUAAAUUUGUUUGUUGCUUUAUCCUGCCCAAAGCAAAUUACAAACAAACAAGAACUCCACACAGAUGCUUCAAAACCUGGAGUGGGGGCAAAAUACAUUAAAAACAUCCCACCCACUUCUAAAAGUUAGUUAAGGGACCAAAGGCCUGGUUAUAGAGGAAAGUUUUUACCUGGUGCCUAAAGAUAUAAAAUGAUGGUGCCAGGUAAGCCUCCCUUGGUAGAGCAUGCCACAAACAGGGAGCCAUUGCAGAAAAGGCCCUUUUUGUGUUGGUGUCCUCUGGACCUCUUGUGGAGGCAAAGGUAAAGGGGCCCCUGACCAUUAGGUCCAGUCGUGACCGACUCUGGGGUUGCGGCACUCAUCUCGCUUUAUUGGCCGAGGGAGCCGGCGUACAGGUUCCGGGUCAUGUGGCCAGCAUGACUAAGCCGCUUCUGGCGAACCAGAGCAGCGCAUGGAAACGCCGUUUACCUUCCCACCAGAGCAGUACCUAUUUAUCUACUUGCACUUUGACGUGCUUUCGAACUGCUAGGUGGGCAGGAGCAGGGACCGAGCAACGGGAGCUCACGCCAUCGUGGGGUUUCGAACCGCCGACCUUCUGAUCAGCAAGCCCUAGGCUCUGUGGUUUAACCCACAGCGCCACCCACGUCCUUUGUGGAGGAGGCACAUGAAAAAGGACCUCAGGUGAUGAUCGCAUGGUCCAGGUGGGUUCAUAUGGAGAAAGGUGGUCUUUGAGGUAUUGUGGUCUUGAGCUAUUUAAGGCUUUAUAGGUCAAAACCAGCACUCUGAAUUGGGCCCGGAAAUUAAUUGGCAAGCGGAGAGGUUGGGCCAGGGUCAGUGUAAUAUGCACAAAUCGUUUUGCCCCAGUGAGCAACCUGGCCACUGAUUUCUGCUCCAGCUGAAGUUUCCAAACCAUCUUCAGAGGCAGCCCCAUGUUUGACACACUGUAGUAAUCCAGUGAUGGCCAAACUUGGCCCUCCAGCUGUUUUGGGACUACAACUGCCAUCAUCCCUAGCUAACAGGACCAGUGGUCAGGGAUGGUGGGAACUGUAGUCCCAAAACAGCUGGAGAGCCAAGUUUGGCCAUCACUGCAGUAAUCUAACCAAGAGGUUGCCAGAGCAUAGACAACAGAAGUCAGCCUAUCCCUGUCUAAAUAGGGACACAGGUGGGUCACCAGCCAAAGCUGAUGACACUCCACACCACCAAGGCCACCUGAGCCUCCAGCGACAGCAAUGGAUCCAGAAGUAUCCACAAACUACAUACUUGCUCCUUCAGAAGGUUGUGUAACCCUAUCAAGAGCAGGAAAUCUCCCAGCCAUCCAAUCUAGGGAAUGACCCACUAAUGGUGCCACAGCCAUAUAUGGAUUGAGCUUCAGUUUGUUGGCUCUCAUCUAGUCCAUUACUAAGGCAAGACAACAGUCCAGCACAUCCACUGCCACACCUGAAGAUGUAAAGGAGAGGUAGAUCUGUGUGUAUUGUCUACACCACAGGCCCCUGCAGGCCAACUUUGACAUAUAGGGAGGGCCACCCACCUGUCAAUCACCUGAUGCCAUUGUGAGUUCAAAGUGACCACCCUCCGCCCUGAUUGGUGCUGUCAGUAAGCCCCACAUGUCAAGCAAUGGUCAGGCUCAUGCUUCUUUUACCAUCACACAUGAUGUCAAGCGUGGGGCCAAUGUACAUGGUUUGAAGGGACCUCUGACCAGGCCCAAUUAUGCCCACAUGCCAGCAGUUUCCCAGUGCUGGUCCACACAGAUGGGCAGCACAGAUACAUCCCAAACCUGACACACUGUGCAGCCUUGGGCAUGGCAUGCCAUUCUUGAUCACUUUGUCCUUAAAGAAUUAAUGUAAUAUUAGGUAAUGCAGAUGGCUGCUGCAAUGAACUUUAACGGUCUGACAACUCCUGAUCUGUUGAAAUCAGUUUUUCCCCCCUCUGUAUUUUCCCCCUUUAAAAAUUACCCUCUUGAGUCUCUUAGAGAUAAUUACUGUGCUUGUUCAGCUAGGUCUGUCAUUAAAUUACUCAAUAAAAUAGACCACUUUUAAACUCUCCAGAGUAUUAAAAGCUCUAUGGCUUGCUCAUCAGCAAACAAGAAUCUGACAGGUGAUUGUUUUGUAAAGCAAAGCGAACAUUUAAUUUUGAUUUUCCCUUUUUUGUAGGUUUUCAUUAUUUAUGGUUUGCCUUUAGUUAGGUGCCGAAGACACAAUUUCCACAAAGAGCCAAUCUUUUCAAAGAAAUUGGGUCGUGAGGGAGAUGCUGUGGAAAGUCCCAGAAAUAAAAGUUUAUAGAGGGCACCAGGACAGGGUAGGGAAUCAGCAUCCCUCCAGAUGUUUCUGAACUCCAGUUCCAUCAGGUCCAACCAGCAUGUUGGGCUGGGUUGCAGCUGGAGUUCAACAACACCUGGAGGGCCACAGGUUCCUCAUGCCUGCUCCAGGGGAUGGAAAGUGCCACAGAAUAAUAGCCGCAAUGCUACAGCUAAUGUGCUGUUUCCAGAUGUGCUUCAGGUGCCAGCCCUGGUUGGCCAGAGGUGCUUCUAUGCAUCUUAACAUUGGCCAAGAUAUGCACGUAAUCUACUUGUGAUUACUGCACAGUAACAUUUGUGCUUGUAACAGUUUCAAGGUGGACAUGUCACUUCAAUUCCAAUCAGUGUAUUUCCUGUAACUUCCUGCUGAAAGGAAAAUGCCUUGAAGGGUCAUUAACUGGGAAGAUGUAUACCCCCAAAAAUAAAUUAGGAAGAACAAAGCAAGAUGAAUGCUCAUUGGUGUAUAACUUCUCCACAAAUAGAUCAGAACUGCUCAGUAAUGUUUGGCCAUAGUCUAACCUCCAUGUGAAGCUAUAUGCAAUCAAAUCCGGACGAAUGCUCAACAAAAUAGGUCAUCUGGAAGAGGCUUUGGUCCUCAAACUUCUGAGGAAUCUUCAGCCAACUGGAGAGCCUAAAAAUUAUACCUAAAGAUUAUCUCCUUUUGUACUUUCUCUUGGCCCCACUUAUAUCACCUUAUCAGACUUCAUCACUGUAUCUUUAAUAAUACCCUGAACAUCUCAUAUGGAGCUGGUGAAUUGCACUAUCGACUAACAACAAUUUUCAAGACAGAGGGAUAAAAACAGAGUAAUACAAUUAUGGAUGUCCUUGGUUUAUGCACACUUUGUGGGAUAUAUCCAGCCUCAUAUAACCAACAUAAAGGUAAAGGUAAAGGUACCCCUGCCCGUACGGGCCAGUCGUGUCCGACUCUAGGGUUGUGCGCCCAUCUCACUUAAGAGGCCGGGGGCCAGCGCUGUCCGGAGACACUUCCGGGUCACGUGGCCAGCGUGACGAGCUGCUCUGGCGAGCCAGCACCAGCGCAGCACACGGAAACGCCGUUUACCUUCCCGCUAUAAAGCAGUACCUAUUUAUCUACUUGCACUUAAGCGUGCUUUCGAACUGCUAGGUGGGCAGGAGCUGGGACUGAAAGACGGGAGCUCACCCCGCCGCGGGGAUUCGAACCGCCGACCAUGCGAUCGGCAAGCCCUAGGCACUGAGGUUUUACCCACAGCGCCACCCGCGUCCCAUUAUAACCAACAUGCAUAACUCUAAUUAAUACAUGACGAUAUAAGACCAUAGAGUGAGCUGUCCUUCCAGGCCUAGCUAGGUCACACACCCUCACCUUGGGAGGAAGGGUCACCAAACUCAGUUCUCUCUUUUUCCACCAUGUGAAUUCAACCAGUAAGAAGGUCUAAGGUGGAUGAUUCAAGCUUAGACCAUAUAGCUUUAGCAAGCCAUAUUUGUGUUUCUAUACAAAUAAUUUAGAAACCCUUACCUUUUUGAAACUAAGUUACACUGCCUGUCUUUCUUGCUGCUAUAUGGAAAACCAAAUGAAUCUAAACUUUUGUAAGUAAACCAUUUUAACUUACCAACCAUGUGGUCUCUUUCUAUGCUAAAGGAAGUGGGAAACUUUGGAAGCAACUUAGAAGGGAAUAUUUUAAAGGUCUAACAGCCUAUAUUUCCACACUUUACUUUGCAGCAUGUUUUCUGAUUUUAAAUCUCUGCUGGGGCUCACUCACCAAAGAGUACUUGCCCAAACCAAAUGCAAACGAUCAAAAGCCAAUGCACAAUACUUCUGUGUCAUUCUUACCCCCAGUUAAACAGGUUUUUCGGGUUUUUGAAACACUGCAAAAACUGCAAAAUCAGUGUAGCAGCGACAACAUCAGGAUGUAUCUGAUGAAGGGUAACAAUGCCUUUGUAAUAUUACCUCCAUCUGUCUCCAGCCCUGGAGUCAGCUCCCAGCGCAAGAACAAGCAGUACAUGAACCCACAAGCUUUGUGGCCGUGGAGUCAUGUUCCUAAUUUAUUUGUCACAUCACCUCUCCCCAGGAGAAGGUGAUUAACAGCCUCGAGCCAAUAUAUCCUGGGAAACCAUAUUCCCUGCUCAGCUGAUGUGAAUCUCCUUGUCUUAUACAUAUCAUGGCCAGCCAAAGUACUGAGGUGAGCAGGACUUUUUCUUCUUUUUGCAGGUUAAAAGGUAAACGUCCUAUUAAUUGGAGACAAGGAUUAUGAUAAAGUCAAGAUGCUUUAUGGUCCCAUGCAACUGAGCUCAGCUCUUCUAACAUCCCUAGGACAUGCAAAUAAUGGUAUACAAGACCUGGAUGCAAUUCUUCAGAUUGCCGCUGAUAUGAGCACAAUGUCUUCAUGCCAGCUGCAAUCUGACACUGCCCCAGCUGGGCAGGCUGGCUGCCUGACAAGGAAAAGCAUUCCAUCUCACUGUAUAUAUCUAUGCACAUCUGUGAAGACAAAGGAAACGGCCGUCAUGGGCUUUCCAACCACAGUGGAUUUUUUUUUUAAAGCACAAAAAAUGCAGACGGGAUCUGCUGCGUUCAUGACGACAUGGAGGUAACAAAAAACCCAUCAGCAAGAUGAAGAGGUUCUUAUAUCAGGAAGCUUGCUUGCAAAUGUCAUAUUGUUCUGCUCAGACUCAGUUGAUGCUGAGAAACGAGGCAUACAAAUACAUGCAACGCAACCUGGCAAAGGGGCCAAUCCUCCGAGAGCUGAGAUAGUAAAUUGAAUGGUGCUUUCUGACGGGCAGAGCUGAAGCACAUUCACACUGAAGUUACCCAGCUGCAUUAAGUACAAUUUACUGUCAUUGCAAAGGGGUAACCUGCGUUAUGCAUGGGAUUCUAUGCCUUCCGAAAACCACAAGGGAUGCAGGUCUGUUUGCAAGGUUAUUCUUUCUUUCAAACUGCCAGAAUGGGAGGUUGUUAAAACCUCUAUAACACUGAUCAGACCGUAAGAACAAAAUCUUUGUAAAACAACAUGGCAACCACAACAAAGCUGUCCUUUGAAAAUUGCACUUCUCUGAAUGUUGGCGUACAGUUUUCCAACUAAAUGCACAUAUCAUGGGAAAGGAUAAAAAUGCAUGUACAGUGGUACCUCGAGUUAAGUACUUAAUUCAUUCCGGAGGGCCGUACUUAACCUGAAACUGUUCUUAACCUGAAGCACCACUUUAGCUAAUGGGGCCUCCUGCUGCUGCCGCACUGCCGGAGCACAAUUUCUGUUCUCAUCCUGAAGCAAAGUUCUUAACCUGAAGCAAUAUUUCUGGGUUAGCGGAGUCUGUAACCUGAAGUGUAUGUAACCUGAAGCGAAUGUAACCUGAAGUACCACUGUAAAUGAAAAUAACAUACAAACAUUUAUUACAUUGGAGGAACUUGCAUCUAUUCGGCAGCUAGCCUGACGGUUGUCCUUACUGUCUCAUCUAUUAUGGGAUACUCACAGCACCCCUUUAUUACUAAGAUGCACACCAGAAGAUAAUGUUACUGCUGUCCUAUAACCAUGUUGAUGGGGACAAUGGAAGGGAAAUAACUGAAAGCAGGAUGUGACGGGUUCUUGUUUGUGUAGUACAGCCUAUGUCUCUAAGAACACAAGAAGAGGCUGCUGGAUUAGACUAAUUGUCCCAUGGGAAACUGCAGGUGAUUGGUCUUGUGUUGAGGUUCGCUUUUAGGCUUCCCAGAGACAUCUGGCUGGCCACUGUGAGAACAGGACACUGGACUAGAAGGGGAGCCGUGGGACACGGCUAUAUCAUUGCCAAAGGCCUCAUCCACCCACCUUUCCACCUCCCUCAGCUUCUCUGCUUUGCUACCUUGACCUCAAGGAAAGAAACGUCUUAGAGUGGUUCCCCCCGCCCAAGUGUUAAUUCAGAAGGAUGUCAACAAGGAAAUGAACACAUCGCUCUUUUCCUCUCCUUUCCCUGCCCUAAGCAUUCUUAUGACUUACCGUAUUUUUUGCUCUUUUUUCGCACCCGACCAUAAGACGCAUCUAGUUUUUGGAGGAGGAAAACAAGAAAAAAAUAUAUUCUGAAUCCCAGAAGCCAGAACAGCAAGAGAGAUCGGUGCGCAACGAUCCCUCUCGCUGCUCUGGCUUCAGCGAUAGCUGCGCAGCCUGCAUUCGCUCCAUAAGACGCACACACAUUUCCUCUUACUUUUUAGGAGGGAAAAAGUGCAUCUUAUAGAGCAAAAAAUAUGGUAGUUGUGGGAAUGACAUGAUGUAUUGUGAAGUAGGAAAACUGAGAGAAUUGAAAUGGGCAGAUCUUUCCAUUCCCAUUGGGAAGCAGAGGCAAAUUUAGGGGAGUGCAACCAGUUCACCCACUGGCGGAGGAACAGGGGGCAAAGGAAGCGCACCACCCCCGGGCACCAUCGGGGAGGGGGGUACCAUCGCGGGGGGGGGCCCAGACACGUGCCAUGCACCUACCGUGCCGGGCGCCACGCCCCCAGAUAGCAUGCCACGCCCCCCAGGACGCACACCAGCCAUGCCCCCACCUGCUCUCUGCCCCCGGUGCCGGAGCAUUCAGCUUCGCCACUGGGUUCACCAUCACUGGGUGCCAAGCCUACAGGGCACCGCAGAGGGCAUGGCAAUAAUGAACGGAAGGCGAGAUGUAGCGGAUCGCAAAUUUUGGCAUUGCAGAAAGCGCCGCUGAAAUUUGAAAACCCCAAGUCUGCCACUGUGUGGAAUCACAAUUUCUCUCAAAGAGAGAGUACUGGCUGCAGCUGCUCCUGUUGGGAUGUCCAGUGACUAGGACAACACGUUUGGCUGUUUAGAACUUGCUGGAGCCAACGUGAGUGGAGAAACAAAUGUAAAUGUAUCCUUGUACAGUAGGAUUAGGGACGCGGGUGGCACUGUGGGUUAAACCACAGAGCCUAGGACUUGCCUAUCAGAAGGUCGGCGGUUCGAAUCCCUGCAACAGGGUGAGCUCCCGUUGCUCGGUCCCUGCUCCUGCCCACCUAGCAGUUCGAAAGCACGUCAAAGUACAAGUAGAUAAAUAGGUACCGCUCCAGCGGGAAGGUAAAUGGCAUUUCCGUGCGCUGCUCUGCUUCACCAGAAGCGGCUUAGUCAUGCUGGCCACAUAACCCGGAAGCUGUAUGCUGGCUCCCUCGGCCAGUAAAGUGAGAGGAGCGCCGCAAUCCCAGAAUCGGCCACGACUGGACCUAAUGGUCAGGGUUCCCUUUACCUUUACAGCAGGAUAGUUUCUACAGACACCCACACAUCCCUCUCUAUCCUCUGUCCAGGCAAGCAAGAGCCAUUAACUGAGUUCAAUGGCACAUGCCAUCCAGGCAAAAGUGCUCAGGGGGUGUGGCUUGGCCCUGGAAGCCAGAUGCAGCAGCUUAGAGGACCACAUAUGGCCCCAAGACCUGAGGUUCCCCACCUGUAGUGUGGACAGCAGUGAGCUAGAAGGACCAAUGCUCUGCCUUGGGAUAGCGCACCUUCCUUCACAGCCUUGCAAAGGCCCCACUCACAGACUUGUCAAAGAGUCAUUGGCUGCAUUAGAAGUCUUGAAAAGGCAACAAAGGCUUUUGUUUGGCUCUCAAAACCAUUUUUCACCACCUCGGUAAGGCUGGAAGAUCACCUUGGGAAAUGGUUUUUUUUUUUUAAUAAAAAAGAACGAAAGAAAACCCAACACCCAUCUCCCAAAAGACACUCUGUGACAGGAUUUUUGUGACUCACGCUUUUUAGGGGGAAGCCAGCGUCAAAUUCUGACAUCUGCUUAAGAGGUUCUAGCAUUUCAAACAUGAAUUAAGUGGCCUGGUGGAAUAGUUUGGGGAUGUUUAUUUUAAAAGAGGCUGCCUCGGCUCAAUGAUGAUUGAGUUGAUAUAGCAUGAAAGAAAACUGGUACUACAACAAUGCAAAUAUCACAUCACGGGCUGAGGGUGGGUGGAAUCUGAAAGCUUGGCCCUCAAAACACAUGCCAAUAGCACAAGUGCUUUAAAAGAUCAGAGCUUAAGAAAUCAAUCACUUGCAGUGUGCAAGUCAGAACACAACUUCUUUCCAAAAUUCAAUUAAAUCAAUAUGCAACUUGUUCGGGGGGGGGGGGGGACUUGACUCCACUGACAUAUAUGGCAACGUUCUCAUUGACUAGAAUAGAUUUUUAACACCUCAUUGCCUGCUUUUCUCUAAGCUACAGGCAAAUUUUAAAAAAAACAAACCCAAAAACUCGAUGGCGUUUGGACUGGUUCACACCUGCAGUUUAUCACUUGGUGACUACAACACAUGUGUUGAAUGGACUUUCAUUAUCUCCAUGCAUGGUUUCAAAAGCAACGCCCUUCAAUAGAGUGCAGUCACAUGAAGCAGUUGUUGUUGUUGUUGUUUAGUCGUUUAGUCGUGUCCGACUCUUUGUGACCCAAUGGACCAGAGCACGCCAGGCACUUCUGUCUUCCACUGCCUCCCACAGUUUGGUCAAACUCAUGCUGGUAGCUUCGAGAACACUGUCCAGCCACCUCGUCCUCUGUCGUCCCCUUCUCCUUGUGCCCUCAAUCUUUCCCAACACCAGGGUCUUUUCCAGGGAGUCUUCUUUUCUCAUGAGGUGGCCAAAGUCUUAGAGCCUCAGCUUCAGGAUCUGUCCUUCCAGUGAGCACUCAGGGCUGAUUUCCUUCAGAAUGGAUAGGUUUGAUCUUCUUG